rnacentral:lncRNA from 1 species
CCGAGCCGCUGCUGCUGCGGCGGCGGCAGCGAAGGCUAGAGUCGUGGGGAGGUGGGUCCCCGCGCUCCGGCGCGCCGGGGCAGCCUCAGGGCCCUCUCCAAAGCUUGCGGAGCAGCUCCUGGGGAGGAGGUGGUGUCUGUGGCGGCUUUAACCACGACCUUGGCCAAACCAAACCCCGCGGUGGACCUAGGGCGGAGGCCGAGUCCGGGCAGGAGUCUGCCGAGCCGGAGGGAGGCGCAUCUGGCGCUUUGGUACCAGCGGCCGCCGGGGGCUUGAGCUGUUGGAGAAGCGCAGUGGGAGCUGGGAAGAGCCAGCUCGUCUGGAGGGCGGACCCCAGCGUCCAGGAGCCCAGCCUCAGGCACAGCAAGGGGCGAAGCCACGCGUCUUUUCGGACGGCCAAUUUCACGCGCCAGUUUGAGAUUCCAGGCAUCUCAGUAAGCACCAGCACCGAGGCGCGGGUAUCAGAAGCACGGAGCCAAAUCCUCUGCGCCCAGGUCACCUCCCAGACCUAUCCUUGCAGGGAUCAGGGCUUCAGGGCUCACCAACCCAAACGCCAGGUCAGACCGCUAGCCUGCAGGAGCGCGAGCCCCACCCUAAGGAGGGAGCGCAACCGGGAACUGGGAAGCGGGUGCAGCGCGCGCGCGAGGUUGGGUCGUGGGCGCCGUCCUAGUGGCGGGGAGCGCACAGCCAAGAGGACAUGAGAUCGGAGAAAUCCCUUACGCUGGCGGCGCCGGGGGAGGUCCGUGGGCCGGAGGGGGAGCAACAGGAUGCCGGAGACUUCCCGGAGGCCGCUGGCGGCGGGGGCUGCUGUAGUAGCGAGCGGCUGGUGAUCAAUAUCUCCGGGCUGCGCUUUGAGACACAACUGCGCACCCUGUCGCUAUUUCCUGACACGCUGCUUGGGGACCCUGGCCGCCGAGUCCGCUUCUUUGACCCACUGAGGAAUGAAUACUUCUUCGACCGCAACCGGCCCAGCUUCGAUGCCAUCCUGUACUACUACCAGUCGGGGGGCCGCCUGCGGAGGCCGGUCAACGUGCCCCUCGACAUCUUCAUGGAGGAGAUUCGCUUCUAUCAACUGGGGGAUGAAGCCUUGGCGGCCUUCCGGGAGGAUGAGGGCUGUCUGCCCGAAGGUGGAGAGGACGAGAAGCCGCUACCCUCCCAGCCCUUCCAGCGCCAGGUUUGGCUUCUUUUUGAGUAUCCUGAGAGCUCCGGGCCCGCCAGAGGCAUCGCUAUUGUCUCCGUAUUGGUCAUUCUCAUCUCCAUCGUCAUCUUUUGCCUGGAGACCUUGCCCCAGUUUCGUGCAGAUGGUCGCAGUGGAAGCAAUGAUGGUGGUGUGAGCCGAGUCUCCCCAGUUUCCAGGGGAAGUCAGGAGGAGGAGGAAGAGGAAGAUGAUUCCUAUACAUUUCACCCGGGCAUCACCUCUGGGGGAAUGGGGACAGGAGGUUCGUCCUCACUCAGUACUCUUGGGGGCUCCUUCUUCACAGAUCCCUUCUUUCUGGUGGAGACUCUCUGCAUUGUUUGGUUCACUUUUGAGCUCCUGGUGCGCUUUUCUGCCUGCCCCAGCAAGCCGGCCUUCUUCCGCAACAUCAUGAACAUCAUUGACUUGGUGGCCAUCUUCCCCUACUUCAUCACCCUGGGCACUGAAUUAGUGCAGCAGCAGGAGCAGCAGCCAGCCAGUGGAGGGGGUGGCCAGAAUGGGCAGCAGGCCAUGUCCCUGGCCAUCCUCAGGGUGAUUCGCUUGGUCCGGGUGUUCCGCAUCUUCAAGCUCUCCCGCCAUUCCAAAGGGCUGCAGAUCCUGGGGAAGACCUUGCAGGCCUCCAUGAGGGAGCUGGGCCUGCUCAUCUUCUUCCUCUUCAUUGGAGUCAUCCUCUUUUCCAGUGCCGUCUACUUUGCAGAGGCUGAUGAUGAUGAUUCACUCUUCCCCAGCAUCCCAGAUGCCUUCUGGUGGGCAGUGGUUACAAUGACCACAGUGGGUUAUGGAGAUAUGUACCCCAUGACUGUCGGGGGCAAGAUCGUGGGCUCUCUGUGCGCCAUCGCUGGGGUCCUCACCAUUGCCCUGCCUGUGCCAGUCAUCGUUUCCAACUUCAACUACUUCUACCACCGGGAGACAGAGCAGGAGGAGCAAGGCCAGUAUACCCACGUCACUUGUGGGCAGCCUACACCAGACCUGAAGGCAACUGACAAUGGACUUGGCAAGCCGGACUUCUCUGAGGCCCCCCGGGAACGGAGGCCCAGCUACCUUCCCACUCCACAUCGGGCAUUUGCAGAGAAAAGGAUGCUCACAGAGGUUUGACCCAGGCGGGCAGAGACUACAUGAGAAGGGUGUACUAAGUGAACUAACUCUUAGGCUUCUUUCUCAUCCUCACAACUCUCACCCUAGAUCCAGCUGACCUCUUGACUCCCUCUCCCUACACCCAGUACAUGGCAACCAGGACCAAAUACCUGGACUGUCAACCUUGUUGCUUGACCUGAACAGCAUUCAAGGUUUAUCCAUCUAAGUGACAUUUUUGAAAUUGCAACGGUGCCACCCAAUCAUGUCCAUCUUCUGUCACGUGGAUGAGAUAUACUGUUCUGUCUGACCUUCCCUCAAGACUCUGAUUUUUCCUGUCUGGAACUUGUCUUAUCUUUAGGAGCAGAAACAUUAAUAGGAUGGAAAUCAGCCAUACUUGAGUCCUAUUACUCUCCUUAUUGUCCUUUGCUUUGGGGGGCAUGUACCUGUCUUAGCUUCUUGAUAACUGGUGGAAGCUGGAAGAUGGAAACAAUACUCAAUGUGCUGUUUCAUUCCAUGAACUGUAACACCUGCUGGUCAUCCUGCAGAGCACCCUCUAUACAGAUUUAGUUAUACAGCCUCAAAAUAUGUUAUCCAUUUCUAAUCUUGGAUGGAAUGAAAGAAAAUGCAAUUAAAGUGGAUGAUCUGGAGGACAUGAGGGUCAGUCCUGGACCAAGGGGCCAAAGGAUUCUCCCAGCUGUGAUCUGGUAUAGGAAACACUGGUCUUUGGUCUGCAUUUAGUCCUCCCCACUCUUAUCCCUGACUCUCUCUUGAGCUUCCAGGAAGGUUCCUUCUCAGAGCCAAAUACUCUUUUUGUGCAAGUGCCUUCCUGUGCAGAGGAACUGGAAACAGGACCUACAGAACCAGGAGAAAUGGCUGAAUAUAGUCAAGCAACUGGCUUGAUCACAAACCAGAAGCAAGGUACCACUAAGCAGAGAUUGUCAUUUUGGAGGGGCAGAGUAAUCUUGUUGCAGAUGUCAGGUUUUUUUCUCCCUCAUUUCACCAGAACCCUCUCUGGCUUUCCACUCUUCUUCCUGGGAAUUUGACUUAGGAUUUCAGGUGAAGGCUUUCUAAAGCAACCCCAGCUCAAAUCUGUAGACAGGUGAAAACACAUAUUGAUUGCCAGUUUCUUCUCAUUUUAUGGGUAAUGACAUAUGUGGCUUAGGUUAAGGAACAAGCAUUAUUCCUUUGCUGACACUGGUAGGGGUUUUUGCUGAGUCAAGCAAACAUUCACCUGCUCGGCCCCCUGGAGCUGUAUCUGGCCUGCUCAAACUGGUAAGGUAAUCUGGCUGUUUCCCACCUGGACUCAGCCAUCCUCUUCCAUUGUGAAACUACUGCCAUCCAUCCCACCUGCCCACUUCCCUCUUUUCUCCCCGGUCACUUUACCCUUUGUUUCUUGCCUUUGAUAAACUGUGAUGUACUGUUUGAAUCUCUUCUGGGUGCAGUUCUGAAACUGAAAGGACUGUUACAAUGCUUUUAAUUUUAUAACUAAGCUUUAAGACUCUUAGAUGAAAAUUUUUAAAAAAUAAAAAUUCCCGAAGAGCAACUUCUGAGGGAUAGCCUUUGAGGGUUUGCUUGAGAGGCAGUGUAGCUUCUGUGAGUGCCAGACUGAAAUCUGGAUUUUGCCACAGCUUUACAGGGUAGCUUUGGCACCACAGUCCCUCUUUGUGCCUCAGUUUCCCCCCAUUAAAUGGGAACAUUAAUGUCUUCCCCUCCCUACCUCAUGGUGAAUGUCAAUGAGCUCAUCUGGGAAGCUGGGGAAGACACUAUGCACAUAUGUGAAUUAUAGUCGUUGAUUUGAUUUUUAGUUCAUUACCCUGUCUCCCCACCUCCCAGAAGUAAGACCCCCCCCCCCAGAUUUUCUGCCUUGGAACCAAAACCCAAGAAUAGCCAUUCAUUAUGAGCUCUUCACUUCCUAAAUCCUUCCCUGGGCUCUUGGGCUGCGCCUCAGUCUUUUUUCUUACCCUUCCGAAUGGAGAAUCAUCUUUAGACAGGCUGGGUAGAUCCUUUUUAGGGCUGGAGGUCACCUUGCCUAGGAGAUUGGCUUCCUUAAACCUGAAACAUAGUAGGAGACAAAGGUGUUUAUGAUUCAGAAACCUGUUCCAAGGUCAGGAAGUGCUAUUUUUCCAAAUCUCUUCUGUUACUCCUGGCUAUUUGGGAAAAGAAGGGCCCAUGUCAGUAGCUAAAGGGAUGCCCCCUGUUGGGACAUGUAUGCAUGUAUCUGUAGAUAUGUGUAUGUGAUCAUGCUCAUCAUCAUCCCUGAGCAAACAUUGCCUUUUCAAAUCAGAGCAUGCCUGAAAGUAAAAGGUUUGUGGAGAGCUGGGAUCUCUAGGGACUCUGGUUGCCGUAGCAACCUUCCAGACUGUUCUCUCAGUCUUCUGAUUCGGGCAUCAAGGGAGAACAGACUACAUAUUCCCAGCUUCUCAAAUGGGAGCACCUUCUACUAUUGGUUUAGGGGCAGGUAGAGCCAGGACAGGGACACAGGACCUUGGAAAAUGUGGAGGAAACUAAACUUCUUGAACUUCCUCCUUGGAUUCUUCCUGGUUUCCCCUACCCAGUCCUUGAAGCUGCCUCAUCUUACCCCUGAGUCUUCAGAAACUUGAAUGCUUAGCAGCUGCCCAGUUAAACCAACAUCAAUGUUAUGCUUUUAAAAAUGACCAGGGGAGCCCUCAGAAUGGACAGUGUGUUCCUCCAGAAGCAGCCAGGCUGGGCUUUGCUGAGAACAGUCCUAGCCUUAGGUGUCAUGGAGUUCUCAUCUCCUAAGACAGAGGAUCUUCCCAGCUCUAAGAGAGACUGAGAGAAAUGAAGCCCCUUCUUCUCGGGGAGCAGUCGAGCUCCUGGGAGGGAUCUCACAGUUCUUCUUGAGACAUGGAAGAAAACCCGAAAGACUGUGGCCCAAUCUAGUUUCUGUGAAGGAUUUUGUCCAAUGGCCCCUCUCUGACUGUGAGUCUCUUUAUGUGGAUGUCGUGACCUGAGCAUCAGGAGAAUACGCACUGUGUGUUGCUGGCCCAGCUGGGAUGGGGACUCCCAGCUGUCAGGAAAGGUGGACUCUUUAUACCAAGCCAUCUUUAUACCUGACUGGAGCCGACAGGGGCUCCCAGAGGACUUCCUGGGACUGUCAGCCUCAGCCUGGACUGAGGGAUACUCCUUCUGCCCGAGAGCGUCCCUGAGGAGUGAGGAGGGACAGCUGGCUGUCUUUGUACCUGAGGUAGGUCCUGCUGUGGGGGAAUUUUGCUCCUGGAUCAGCCUCCAUGCCAAAUUAGAAAUCUGGACAGCAGGGAGAGAAAGUAGGAGAAGAUUAAGUUUGGUGGGGGAGCAGGGUUUCAUUUGCCUUUUCUUUGUGACCACCUUGCUCCAUCUCUGUGUAUUUUCUGUGCCUCCAUUCACUUCCUUUUCCUCUGUCUCUGUCCUCUCAAUGCUGCUUCUCCCACACCUUUCCUACCAUCUCUUUCCCUCCUCUCUUUCCUCUCCCUUUUCUCCUUUUUUUAUUCCUUUCUGUGCCUUUUUUUUCUUCCUUCUCUGUUUCAUUUCUCCUGCCCCCACCCCAUUGUUUUCAACCUCUUCUUCUUUCUCUGUGUAUUUUUCUUCCUCUUUCUCCCUCUCUGUACCUUUUGGGUGGCUGGCAGCACCUACGGUGUUUCUGUUGAAUUCUAGGACAGCUGUGAUCCUGGGUGUUUUUGAAAAGGUCGGCCUCCAGCCAGAGGAUUCCCUGUUUCCUGACACCUCAGUUCCCCAUCCUUUCUUGCCACACUCCCCUAUUGGGGGAUGUCCUGCACUUACCAAGGAACUUGGGAUGCUCUGGGUUUAGAAAAACAUCUCCCAGUGAUUUCCUGAACAUAUAAAGAUGAAAGAGGGAGGGGGAGAGGGGUGGGAGCAGGGGAGAGAGAAUGAACUUGAUGCCUUAUAUUAAUAUUCUGCCAUAUAGUACUAGAGUAUGUCAUCUUAGGGUUCCUGAACCUUAAGAACCUUGCAGAGAUGUUGAAGACAAAGGAACAGUAGGAAUAGGAAAAUAAACAGAAAAAAAGAGGACUUGGGAGGAAGGUAUAAGAUUGAAGUUAGAAUGGGAAAGUCCUUCACUCGGGGUCGCCUGAUAACUGCCAAUCAUUGACUUGGAGGUUUGCUUAGCCUGUGGCUGGCUCCCUUGUGCACUAGGGCAGAGAGACUGAGAGACACCAUUCCCAGUGGUGUAAGGUGCAGGAGAUGCUCCUUGGAGAUGUAGGUUAAGAUUCCCCACCAGUCCGUAAGGAGACUGUGUGGUUGCCCUACUGGAGGCUGUGGCACGUAGGUUUUUAAGUCCCAUCUGCAUCAGGACAUCAGAACAUUAGGACAACCCCAGGCUCCUCAGGGGCCCAAGACUGGGCUGUUAAGCUAGCACCAAAGUACUUUUGGGGGUGAUGGAAAUGUUCUGAAAUAGAACUGUGGGGACAAUCAUUAUUGUCAUUAACAACUCCAAAAGUUAACAACAACAACAGAAAACAUUGCAAUUUGGGGGAAAAGGAGACAUGAGUCUAGUAACCUGGGAGUCUCCCACUGCAAUGGGAGGAAGAUUUGGUUUUAUAAGUCAAGGUUAGCAUCUCUAGUGAUGGACCAGAUUGAAGGUCUGUAAUGGAAUGACAGUUUUUUUCUUCUGCCACACGGGGACACUUCAGAGCUUUCAUGCAGUUGCACCUUGCGAUUUGUGUACGAUACCAAGAACUGAUAGUGUGUGUGUUUUUUUGGUCUAUGAAGCUACUGUAGGAUUUAUAUCCUUUUUCUUUCUCCAAAAUUAUGUCAAGCCAUUCUUUUGGUAGGUGCAGAGUAUGACUAGCGCAUCCUGAACUAAUGAUGAAUGUGUUGGACAUAUUAAUUAUAUAGGAGUAGGGAGGUGAGCUUGCUCAAAGAAUGUGUUUUUUUGGGGGGCCACAAACAAACAAAUAAAUAAAUCCUCUGCAAACAAACCAAAAGCCCCACCUAAUUCUUGGACCUGUAAACUCUGACUUCCUUAAGAAAUUUCCUAGAAGCCAAGGUUUUAUUUCUCCCAACCUCCAACCUCAACUACCCACUAAAGUAGUCAUUAACCCUUCUUUGCCCUAGAAUGAGGACCAGCAGUCUCUAGUGCUUUGGAUAAACCAAAGAAGUGGGAGAUGACAACCUUCAUUCAUUUUACCUUUGCAUUGUUAUCUGUGAGCCAGUUCCUUCUCUUCUUCCUCUGGCCUGUGCCACAGGAUCUCUUCCUUCUCUCCCUUAGGGCUUUCUGCCAGAUGACACUUUCUAGUCCUGCCAACUUAUUAUUCCUUCUCCCUACUGGUUGAGCUCUUGCUUCAGGCAGGAUUUCUGUUGCCCUGCAUCUCUACAUAAAUGCCAAGCUAGAUUCCCAGAGAACAUUGUCCUCCCAGGACAAUGUGGCUGGACUUGCCAUCCUGGCUCUGAUUGGUUUUGACGGUGUGCUAUUACUAUGGGAAGGAAAGUGUGGUCUGAUUCUAGCGUGUCAUGAUCACUUAGAGGAGGGAAAGAAAUCCAUUUAUUCAACAGUAGGGUUCCUUUCUGUGUUCCUCUUUAUACCAGGCUGCACAGAUAUCUCAUGGCAGAAUAAGGUCUGGCGCUUGGGGGUUUGGAGGGAGAGAACAUAUCUUCCCACACACGGGCCACUGGGAAUAAGGACAGAUGGGCUCUUAGUUCUCAUGUUGCUGGGUUUCCCGAUGCACCACUUUCCCCUUCUGGGCUUGCAGUCCCUGCGGAGUUGCAGAUUGUCCUGUUUUCAUGUCCCUUUGUUCUGAACUUGAGGAAAUAAUUUAGCCUGCUUCUUUGUUCCUUCUUGGUCCUCAUCCCCUUGCUUCACAUGUGACCCUAAAGGAGGAGUGGAAACCUAUCAGUGACACUUAGGAAGUGUUAUCCCAACAGGAUAAUGACUCUCUCGUUCCGAGAGAGAGAGAGAGAGAAAGAGAACGAGAGAGAACGAGAGAACCAGCCAGGACAGGUAACACUGGUCUAGCCUUGGCUAUCACUGACCUAUUUGGGGCCGACCUUGCUGCGGAUUAUGGCAAAUUUUUUUUUCUUCUUCUUCAUUUAACCCAACUCCAACCGUAUCAUUGUUACUAUAUGGAGAAUUUUCUCUCAGUUGCUCCUGUGAUGAUACACUUUGCCUGCCCCUGGGAAACAUUUUGGACCCUUAAGUUGCCUCUGCUGCAGUUUGCAAGGAGGGUAGACAGACCUUGGCUCUUUGGCGAGAGCAAAGCCGACAUUUCAAAAGGAAAUUGCAGCCGCGCAGUCUGCUGGCGCUGCUAUUUUUGACAUGCUUGCUGUUCUCUCAGGGCUUGACAACCGCUGUCUCCAGGAGACAGACAAACCCGGUCUUGGCAGCAAAGACACCACUUUGAAAAAGAACAUAGCAAGACAGUCCCUUGGCUGGGAGGGGCUGGAGGAUGCCCAUUCCUUCCCUCACCUCCAGGAAGCCUGCCGGGCACCUGGCUAGCAUCUGCCACCCUCGACGGCAGCUUCACCCUCCCCGGUGAACUGGACCCUGCUGUGCAGCCUCCCCUCUGAGGGGAGUUCUAAUAGAAACAAGAAGGAGGCUGUCCUCUGACAAAGACCCACCCAGCGCUCUCCUCAGGCAGUAAGCUCUAGAAUAAAAUGGUGAGGGCCAUGAACGCCGGAGCCAGGUGGUUAGGUCCAAGUCCCUCCUCUGCUGGGUGACACUGGGGCAAGUUAUGAAAUUGUUCUGAGCCUCAGUUGCCCUCUUGGUCAACUGGAGAGGGGAGUAAAAAUAGCUCUGACAACAUAGGGCUGUUUUGAUGAUUAAAUAGAUUUAUUUUUAAAUAUUUAUUUCUUAGGUAUAGAUGGACUCUACACAAUGCUUUUAUUUUUAUGUGGUGCUGAGGAUCGAACCCGGUUCCCACCGGUGCUAGGCAAGCACUCUACUGCUGAGCCACAAUCCCAGCCCCGAUUAAAUAGAUUAAUACACGUACAAUGUUUAAACUCGCAAGCACUAUAUAAAGAUCGACUAUGAUGAUCAUGUGCCUACUACCACAAAACAAAGCAGGUAGGCAGGUUGUUUUCCUCUUUGGUGGAGAAGAGAAAUUGAGGCUCAGAGGGGUGGUGACAUGUUCAAGGGCACAUGGCUAUGUGUGGUCUAUCACAGAUGGUGUGUGGAAUGGAGUGCAGUGAGCGUCUGACCCAUACUGAGCAAAAAGAAAGAGCGAAGCUGUGGCUCCUAAUUGCAUAUAUAGAUUUUUGUUUACGUGCCAAUUUGUCUGUGAUGGAGAAGCUGCAGGUGUGCUAAGCCCCUCCCCCAUGGGGCUCUGAAAGCACCUGGAGAUUUCUCCUAUGUCUGUGUGGACGUCUCAGAUAAAUGGAACGUUGUUCUACAGAGCCCUUUGUUACUCUGUUCCAUUCUUCUCCCUCUGGUCAUCAUCUUCACUACCCAUUCGGUUCCCGACCACUUUCAUGUCCUCUCCACUUUGCAGGUUGUGUUUCAGCUUCCCUGUCCUUCUCAAAGGUGGAGGGAGAGGAGACCCUGAAGUUGGAAGAAGCCAGCUUCUUCUACAUAUGAGAGUCUCAUUUGCCUCCUCCUGGCUAAAGAGCAACUACUGCAGCUUUCCUUGGGGGUCUCAGUGCAGCCCAGAAUGCUCUGCAUGCCCUCAGCGCACUGCUGUGACCCCUUCAGCUUCUCUUGAAGGAUCCAGACCAGGGCAAGGAAGCAUAGCUACCCUCCUGUUUCUGGAUUCAGAGCUUGCCUGCCUUUGGAGUUGAACUUGGGUCUGCACCUCAUUUGACCUUGCUAAGCUUUAGUUUUGUCAUCUGCAAAACAAGGAAGCUGAUACCACUUGCCUCUUAGGAUUGUGGUGAGGGUUACACAAGGCUGCCAGUUAAAGGGCUUAGCAGGAAAUGAACUCUCAGCAAAGCACAGUUCUGAUGAGUGACACUGAAUGUCCACCUGAGAGCAGGCCCAGGCCCACCUGCUCUCUCAAAAGAAAGGCAGGGUCCUCACCUUUCGGUUUUGUUCUUUGACACAAACAUUUAAAUGAAAAAUGACAUAAAAACUAGACUUUGGUUAGCUCUCUGCUUUACCAGAAGGCUCUUUGCCUAGAAGAAUCACAGCAGAAUUUCUUUAAAUAAUUGCACUUAAGAUAUGAGUGAAUGUAUAGAAAUGUCAUCCAAAUGAUUAUCGAAGGAAUAGGAUGGAUAUACUGGUAAUAUAUAUAUAUAUAUAUAUAUAUAUAUAUAUAUAUAUAUAUAUAUAUAUAUAUUUUUUUUUUUUUCCAACAAGGUUCAUUUCCAACCAAAAUAAAAAGGAGAAACUUUACUUAAACCUUUCUCUGAGCACCAGAGCAUUGCCAAGGGCAGUACUGAAGGUCACAGACAGACGGGAUGUGAGAGCUGAAAGGGGCAGUAAAUGCCUCUUUUCAUGAAGGAGGAAACUGAGGCAGAGAAGUGAACUGAUUAACUCAAGACCCCACAGGUAUGUGGGCAGAGCUGAGUCGGGAACACUCAUUUACUGACUCCGAUCCCAGCAUCCUUUUCCCCAGAAGAUGGAAAUCUAAGGAUUACUUGAAUAUUUUCUUUUUAAUGAAUGACUUUAUUUCCUAUCCAACCAAACUCCUUAGCAGAACUUCCCAUAGGAAAUGGAAUUAAAAUGUUUGCAAUUUUAUCUUUCCCUCCCCAGACUUUCCAGGUUACCGAAGCAUCAGGCUUAGCUAGAGAAACCCCUGUCAGAAAAGCAGGGGGUCACUUGAGGCUUCUGUUUUGGAUUCAGGAAGGAAGAAGGAAUGCAAAAGUUUAGCAUCUUACCCAAGAGUGCUGACUUCAGAUGCUCUGGGAAUUAGAAACCAGCUUCUCCACUCUUCCCUGCACUUGCUUGCCCUGGUAGAGAAGGAAAAGUUGCUGCUGGGUUAUAGAUGUCUUUUAUAAAUCACAGGACUAGGGCAAGAAUGAACAAAGUUUCCAGAAGCCAUGGUAGUCGAGCCAUAAAUCAGACAAGCACUCCCCAGCUGCCUUAAGGCAAUUUGGCAUUGCUGGAAAGAGAAGAAAGGUCUGGAAUGAUGGGGAAAAUAGCUUGUGUUCCCUGCAGUAACUGCUUUCUGUGCUUCACAGCAGGGACCAUAUUCACCCAGGAGAGCACACACAUGUGCACCUGUAGGAGCCUAACACACGCACCUGGAAGUGUGUGUGUGUGUGUGUUGUUAUUUAUUUAUUCAUUUAUUUUCUGCGUAUGGAACCUUCUUGUACAUGGCUUUAGUGACUAUAGAAGGAGCACAAGCAGAGCGCCUACCCUAAAACUGUACUUUACUCCUUUCAAUAGGUCCUAAGUCAUCAGAUUGAGUGUGACAAUAAUGAUGCGAUAUUAGGAAGUAUUGGGAGAUUUCACUCACAGUUCUGUAUUUUUUUUUUAUUGAAAAACAAAAGAUCUGGGCCUGAUCUGCUUUCCAACAAUCAUCAGCAGGAGCUGGGUUAUAGUUGUUCCCUUCAGAGUGAGUUGAGUCUCUUUUUGCUUCCAAUUAUCCUCAUUCCUGAUUUCCAAUCCAUGACGAUUUCCUUUACCAAGUCAAUAAAUUUAACAGAAAAAGCAAGUCUCUGAAAGGUAAAAGGACCCUGAAUCCAUGAGACCAGAAGCCUGGGGUCUUGCUGCCAAGGCCAGAGGCUGUCCGUGAGCCUUCUGGAUGCGGAGACUGGGGCUGUUGGUCAGCUUUCAUUAUGCCCAUGGCCUUAUUUUCCUCAUGGGUGGAAAACAUUUCUCUAUAUGUCCAUUUCUGCCAAAGGUUAUGAAGCAAAAGACCAAAAGGUGCCAUGUUUAGGGAAACUAUACUGACCUCUGUCAUCCUGUGACCCUGUAGACUUUGGUGACUGUGGCCUCUCUGCAGAGCUUUCCUCUGUGAUCUAACUUAACUGUGUCAAAGUUGACUCUGGUUCAGAGGUCGCAGGUUAGAUGAGGUGGGAGUGCAUGUGGCUGAUAGAAAGGACAAUGAGCAUGGAAGUGGAAGCUUGUAUCUGGGAGAAGAUGAUCCCUGUGACCUAGGAGAGACAGGAUCACGAGGCUGAAUGAAGAUGGUACCACAUAGUAACAAGAAUGUGCUGUGUCCUCUGUCCAGUUAAGCAGGCAGAGAAAUAUGUGAUGCAAUUAAGGAUUUCCAUAUAAAGUGAUUAAAAUGAGCAGUCAGGCCGUGUUAGUCAGCUUUCCAUUACUAUAACAAAUACCCCAGAUAAAUAAGCUUAUAAAGACAAAAAGGAUAUUUUGACUAACAGUUUUGGAAGUUCCAGUCCAUGACUGGACAGACACAUUACUUUUAGGCCUCUAGUGGAAGAAUAGCAAGCACAUCAUGGUAGGGGCUGGGAUAUGGAAGAGAGAGAGAGACAGAGGAAGAAGAAGGGACCAGGGUUCUACUAUCACCUUUAAGGUCAUAUCCCCUGAUGACUGAACGCCUUCCGUCUAGGCAUCUCCCAACAGCACCAAGCUGAAGACUGAGUCUUUUGGGGAGACAUUUAAGAUUCAAACUACACGGCAGGGCAAAAUUCAGUAUUUGGAUAUUUCUGAUUUGAGGACUGCCUCCUACUUCCAGGGUGUCAGAUAAUGAGACACCACUCUGUUCCUGCUCGCCAGCACCAAGAGGGCGUGAGACAGGGACUCAUCACUUUCCUGGAAUAAUGACUGGCUCUUAGCUCAGGCUCUGCCCUUGUCCUGUUGGGGGAAUGACAUCAUCAUCCUUCCCAGAUCCCUUUUGUUCCCAGAUCCUGGGUGGUUCUCAGUAUUUUGGCUUUGAGGUGGACUCUCCUGCCUUGGAAGUUUAUUGGUCGCAGAUUAAAUGGUCAUAGAACUGAACCAACUGCUGUUGGAAGGAGAUCAGAAAAACCUUCCUCAGCUUCUAGUUUUACCUGUAAUUUCAUUAAAAUAUUUCAGGGCCAGAAUUCAAGAGGUCAGUUGCCAAAGGAAUUAGAACUAGAGUAAGAUCCAAAUCCUUGGGAUUCCAAGAGCUCAGUGACUUCAUGUGGGUCUUCUCUCCUUGGGGAUAUCUUUUAUUUCUGAAAACCAGAAUUUAAAAAGAUCCCGCUGGAUCCUGUAAUUCCAGAGGCUCAAGAGGUUUAGGCAGGAGGAUUGUAAGUUCAAAGCCAGUUUCAGCAAUUUAGUAAGGCCUUAAGCAAGUCAGUGUGAUCCUGUUUCUAAAUAAGAUAUAAAAAUGGCUGGGGAUAUGGCUUGGUGGUUAAGUGUCCCUGGGUUCAAUCCCCAGUAUAUAACAAAUAAAAAAAGUAGAAGGAUCCUAUACUUUCAUUUUCCCCAAAUAUAUGCCCUAACUUAACUUUGUCAAAGUUGGCUCUGGUUCAGAUGUAGCAGGUUAGAUGAGACAAGAGUGCAAAAAAAGUUAAAUCAGGCUGCAAUUAAAAGAAAUCUAUCCUGAGCCUCCAUUUCAAUGUCUGUCUGCUUCAGUUUUUCCAUACACCUUCCAGAAAAGUUGUGUGUGUAUAAUAGUAUCAUUUUGCUAUCAGAGGUGCUUUUUCAUAUAAGUGGGCCCAGAGAAAGCAAUGAGAUGACUUGUCCAUUCUGAAUCUCUGGGAUCAGUUGAGAACUUCCAACAUGCUUGGGGAUUGACUGAGAGAUUGCAUAACCAAUUGUGGACAGUGUGCUCAGAUCAGAAGUCCCUGGCCAAUCCCUCUCCAGGGUUGGCCCUGGGAGAAGAGCUCUCAAGAGCUGCUCAAGGACACAGGUGGAAUUGCCUCCUCUACGCCUUUGAUGAUGUGUGAGGUUAACAUUCUUCUUUGGAAUUGUAUCAGUGGAAAAUAUGACUCCAUUUACAAAUAAUAUAUUUGCUUUAUACACAGCAUUUCAGGAAUGUGUUUCAUUUGCAAGUAAGCCAUCUGCACUCACUUAAUGGUACAUAAAUAGAGAACAAAGCAAACUGACAGAGAAUAAUGGAGCAGGAAGAGACUUAGGUAAAACUCAUGGAAUCCAUCACUCUGCAUUUCUAAGUUAUUACAGACCUGUUCUGAAUAUUCCCCAGAGAAGGAGCAUCCCUAGCACAGACGCCUUUGAACUCUUUGUGUUUGAGCUUCAUGAUCUUUUUUGUUGAGUUGUUUUCCUCCUGCCUUAGAUGUACAUCACCUGUCUCACUUUCGACUUCCUUUCUCCUAUUUUGUCCUCUACUGAGAUGGAUGCUUAACUGGCCAUGCUACCUAGAAUAACUCAUGCCAGAGUUCCCCAGAUGUGAUUUGCAGAACUCUGGUCCUACAUGAUAUUCUCAUGAAAAGCCAUCCCCAGGCACUGAGCUUCAGAAUGUUGCCUCUGGGAGACACACAGCACAUGUGCGCCUCAAAUUAAAGGCUCUGAGAAGUCUUCCAGCAAGUAAGCCUAGGUCAAUUCUUUAACUCAGUAAAUAUUGUGACUUUUUAUGUAACAUAAAUUAAUAGAUUGAGAGCUAUUAUGAUGGGUUGUAAAAAUUAUUAUUAUAAUUAUUUUGCCACAGACUGAUUCUCUCUCUCUCUCUCUCUCUCUCUCUCUCUCUCUCUCUCUCUCUCUCUCACUUCUGUUCAUACCCUAUGGAAAGUUUAAUCCAAGAAAUACAUAUUGAGAAAGUCAAAGAGAUCUGAAACUCCUUCCAAUGGAUUUGAGUCCGUGGAGUUUCUGCCAUCAGAGAUUUUUCAUAUGGACCAUGUUGUGGCUUCAGUCCUCUUAGCGUUCUCCACACCCCUCUUCAGUUGGGCAGAAAGUGUUUGUUUAUUCUUGGUUUUUGGUUGCCCUGGGGACUGAACCAAGGGCCUUGUACAUGCUGGGCACAUGCUGUACCACAGAUCCACGUUUCAGCCCCUAAUAGGAAACCUAUUGUGAGCCUUCCAUUCUUCCGUUUUCACUAGCCAUUCUUGUUUACAACCCAUCAUAAUAACUCUCAAUCUAUUAAUUUAUGUUACAUAAAAAGUCACAAUAUUUACAAUUAUUGAUAAGACUCUGGAUAAUGUGAAAGGAGACACCCUCUCCCUAUGGCCCUUUAUAGCCUUCUUCAAUAGAAAGUCUUCUAAGAAGGUAGAUGUGGGAGCUGAUCUUUGUAGAUUCCAUUUCUGAUCUACUUUGUUAGCAGAUGUCUUCAAUUUGGAUGCUCUUCCGGGUGGAUGAGGAUGCCUGCAUCACUUCGCUGUGGUGUGGUCUUAACUAAUCUAUGCAUGUUCUUAACCAAAUCAAAGAUUGUCACAUGUUUGUUUUCAUGAGCACUAUUCUAAUUAACUAAACCUACUAAUGAGAACAUAACCUUACUAAUGAUCAUAUUACUAAUUGUCAUAUUUACAAAAUCUUUUUCUGUGGGUGAGGUACUGGGGAUUGAACUCAGGGUACUGGGGAUUGAACUCCACCACUGGGCCACUUCCGCAGCCCCAUUUUGUAUUUUAUUUAGAGAUUGGGUCUCACUGAGUUGUUUAGCACCUCAAUUUUGCUGAGGCUGGUUUUGAACUCAUGAUCCUCCUGCCUCAGCCUCCCGAGCCACUGGGAUUACAGGCAUGCACCACAGAGCCCAGUUUAUAAAAUCUUAUUCACAAUGUGAGCAAGACACAAAUACCAUUAGCUAUAAGCAACUGGGUUUUCUCAUUCUUUCCUAUUUCCUUAAACACUGCUUUCAAGUGUGACACUUGCUCUGUCUCUCCUGAAGUGUUUCAAGUGUUGAACAAUUCCAGGUGGACUGGGUUCUUCCAGGGCAGCUCUUUUCAGCUAGAAUUUCUUUGGGCUGCUGGAGGAGCUCAGACUUGACUCUUCUCUGUUCAUCCCAGAGGGCCCGAGGCUCACCACCUGCUCCUACACCAGCUGGCCCAGGACUAAACCCUUUCUUCUGUAGUUUUCCUUCUGUGCUCAGAAUCAGAAGAAGAAAGGAUGUCAUUGCUUUUACCUGUGAAUGCCUUUGUACCUGUUCCUUUUCUAGACAUCCUGAGCCAUGAGAAAGCAUUUCUGAUAUCUACUUGCAUCUCUGAUCUUUAAAUCCACUGAAAAUCAGAACAAAUAGACUGUGGGGGAAGAAGGGAAUUGCAUCUAAUUCUGGGUCUGUCACUAGGCUGCUGUGUGGCCCUGGACGAGUCACCUGUCUGGCUCUCAGCAUGUGUUGGCCAGUAGCACUGUUCUCUGGCCCAGUGCCUUCAUUUGUAAAAUGAGAUGGUUGGAUUGGACAAUUGAGUUUCUGCUUGAAGAUCCUAUGAUGCUCAAGGGCAGUCACCAAGCGUGCGGGGGUGGGGGGGGCUUGCUUGAUCUCUUCUUGAUCAUUUCCUUAAUCACAUUAUUGCUUGGUUGUUGCCACUGGAGAGAUUUUUUUGAAAAAGAGUUGGAUUUGCUAAAAUUUCAAUUGUAUACGGAAUAUUUGAAUCUCAAAGCUCCUCUGCUCCAGCUUCUUAUUUUAGAUACAAAGAUCAGAAUUUAACAUCUAAAGAACGAACUGAACAGGUUAUAGAGAAGUUUUUAGAGAGAGGUAAUAAUUUUAUCUGGUAUCAAGAUCAAUCUUUGUACUUUUGUCUUCCCUCCCUCUCUCUGCCCCCCCCUUUCUUUCUACCUUUUUAUUUUUCUUAGAUGAGAUCUAUCUUAGUUUNCCAGUAUAUAACAAAUAAAAAAAGUAGAAGGAUCCUAUACUUUCAUUUUCCCCAAAUAUAUGCCCUAACUUAACUUUGUCAAAGUUGGCUCUGGUUCAGAUGUAGCAGGUUAGAUGAGACAAGAGUGCAAAAAAAGUUAAAUCAGGCUGCAAUUAAAAGAAAUCUAUCCUGAGCCUCCAUUUCAAUGUCUGUCUGCUUCAGUUUUUCCAUACACCUUCCAGAAAAGUUGUGUGUGUAUAAUAGUAUCAUUUUGCUAUCAGAGGUGCUUUUUCAUAUAAGUGGGCCCAGAGAAAGCAAUGAGAUGACUUGUCCAUUCUGAAUCUCUGGGAUCAGUUGAGAACUUCCAACAUGCUUGGGGAUUGACUGAGAGAUUGCAUAACCAAUUGUGGACAGUGUGCUCAGAUCAGAAGUCCCUGGCCAAUCCCUCUCCAGGGUUGGCCCUGGGAGAAGAGCUCUCAAGAGCUGCUCAAGGACACAGGUGGAAUUGCCUCCUCUACGCCUUUGAUGAUGUGUGAGGUUAACAUUCUUCUUUGGAAUUGUAUCAGUGGAAAAUAUGACUCCAUUUACAAAUAAUAUAUUUGCUUUAUACACAGCAUUUCAGGAAUGUGUUUCAUUUGCAAGUAAGCCAUCUGCACUCACUUAAUGGUACAUAAAUAGAGAACAAAGCAAACUGACAGAGAAUAAUGGAGCAGGAAGAGACUUAGGUAAAACUCAUGGAAUCCAUCACUCUGCAUUUCUAAGUUAUUACAGACCUGUUCUGAAUAUUCCCCAGAGAAGGAGCAUCCCUAGCACAGACGCCUUUGAACUCUUUGUGUUUGAGCUUCAUGAUCUUUUUUGUUGAGUUGUUUUCCUCCUGCCUUAGAUGUACAUCACCUGUCUCACUUUCGACUUCCUUUCUCCUAUUUUGUCCUCUACUGAGAUGGAUGCUUAACUGGCCAUGCUACCUAGAAUAACUCAUGCCAGAGUUCCCCAGAUGUGAUUUGCAGAACUCUGGUCCUACAUGAUAUUCUCAUGAAAAGCCAUCCCCAGGCACUGAGCUUCAGAAUGUUGCCUCUGGGAGACACACAGCACAUGUGCGCCUCAAAUUAAAGGCUCUGAGAAGUCUUCCAGCAAGUAAGCCUAGGUCAAUUCUUUAACUCAGUAAAUAUUGUGACUUUUUAUGUAACAUAAAUUAAUAGAUUGAGAGCUAUUAUGAUGGGUUGUAAAAAUUAUUAUUAUAAUUAUUUUGCCACAGACUGAUUCUCUCUCUCUCUCUCUCUCUCUCUCUCUCUCUCUCUCUCUCUCUCUCUCACUUCUGUUCAUACCCUAUGGAAAGUUUAAUCCAAGAAAUACAUAUUGAGAAAGUCAAAGAGAUCUGAAACUCCUUCCAAUGGAUUUGAGUCCGUGGAGUUUCUGCCAUCAGAGAUUUUUCAUAUGGACCAUGUUGUGGCUUCAGUCCUCUUAGCGUUCUCCACACCCCUCUUCAGUUGGGCAGAAAGUGUUUGUUUAUUCUUGGUUUUUGGUUGCCCUGGGGACUGAACCAAGGGCCUUGUACAUGCUGGGCACAUGCUGUACCACAGAUCCACGUUUCAGCCCCUAAUAGGAAACCUAUUGUGAGCCUUCCAUUCUUCCGUUUUCACUAGCCAUUCUUGUUUACAACCCAUCAUAAUAACUCUCAAUCUAUUAAUUUAUGUUACAUAAAAAGUCACAAUAUUUACAAUUAUUGAUAAGACUCUGGAUAAUGUGAAAGGAGACACCCUCUCCCUAUGGCCCUUUAUAGCCUUCUUCAAUAGAAAGUCUUCUAAGAAGGUAGAUGUGGGAGCUGAUCUUUGUAGAUUCCAUUUCUGAUCUACUUUGUUAGCAGAUGUCUUCAAUUUGGAUGCUCUUCCGGGUGGAUGAGGAUGCCUGCAUCACUUCGCUGUGGUGUGGUCUUAACUAAUCUAUGCAUGUUCUUAACCAAAUCAAAGAUUGUCACAUGUUUGUUUUCAUGAGCACUAUUCUAAUUAACUAAACCUACUAAUGAGAACAUAACCUUACUAAUGAUCAUAUUACUAAUUGUCAUAUUUACAAAAUCUUUUUCUGUGGGUGAGGUACUGGGGAUUGAACUCAGGGUACUGGGGAUUGAACUCCACCACUGGGCCACUUCCGCAGCCCCAUUUUGUAUUUUAUUUAGAGAUUGGGUCUCACUGAGUUGUUUAGCACCUCAAUUUUGCUGAGGCUGGUUUUGAACUCAUGAUCCUCCUGCCUCAGCCUCCCGAGCCACUGGGAUUACAGGCAUGCACCACAGAGCCCAGUUUAUAAAAUCUUAUUCACAAUGUGAGCAAGACACAAAUACCAUUAGCUAUAAGCAACUGGGUUUUCUCAUUCUUUCCUAUUUCCUUAAACACUGCUUUCAAGUGUGACACUUGCUCUGUCUCUCCUGAAGUGUUUCAAGUGUUGAACAAUUCCAGGUGGACUGGGUUCUUCCAGGGCAGCUCUUUUCAGCUAGAAUUUCUUUGGGCUGCUGGAGGAGCUCAGACUUGACUCUUCUCUGUUCAUCCCAGAGGGCCCGAGGCUCACCACCUGCUCCUACACCAGCUGGCCCAGGACUAAACCCUUUCUUCUGUAGUUUUCCUUCUGUGCUCAGAAUCAGAAGAAGAAAGGAUGUCAUUGCUUUUACCUGUGAAUGCCUUUGUACCUGUUCCUUUUCUAGACAUCCUGAGCCAUGAGAAAGCAUUUCUGAUAUCUACUUGCAUCUCUGAUCUUUAAAUCCACUGAAAAUCAGAACAAAUAGACUGUGGGGGAAGAAGGGAAUUGCAUCUAAUUCUGGGUCUGUCACUAGGCUGCUGUGUGGCCCUGGACGAGUCACCUGUCUGGCUCUCAGCAUGUGUUGGCCAGUAGCACUGUUCUCUGGCCCAGUGCCUUCAUUUGUAAAAUGAGAUGGUUGGAUUGGACAAUUGAGUUUCUGCUUGAAGAUCCUAUGAUGCUCAAGGGCAGUCACCAAGUGUGCGGGGGGGGGGGGGGCUUGCUUGAUCUCUUCUUGAUCAUUUCCUUAAUCACAUUAUUGCUUGGUUGUUGCCACUGGAGAGAUUUUUUUGAAAAAGAGUUGGAUUUGCUAAAAUUUCAAUUGUAUACGGAAUAUUUGAAUCUCAAAGCUCCUCUGCUCCAGCUUCUUAUUUUAGAUACAAAGAUCAGAAUUUAACAUCUAAAGAACGAACUGAACAGGUUAUAGAGAAGUUUUUAGAGAGAGGUAAUAAUUUUAUCUGGUAUCAAGAUCAAUCUUUGUACUUUUGUCUUCCCUCCCUCUCUCUGCCCCCCCCUUUCUUUCUACCUUUUUAUUUUUCUUAGAUGAGAUCUAUCUUAGUUUUAAGUGUUUCCAGAUCCUUUUUUAUUUUGAUGUUGCAAAAUAAACAUUCCUUGGUUUUGGCUGUGUCGAGCACCUUGGCAUUAUGAUUGGAAAAAUGUUGGGCACGGAAAGGCUUCUAUAUUAAGGAGAAGCUCGAAUGCAGACUAGCAGGGAUGCUAACCAGUACUCUCUGCAUCUGGGCACCUUAGGGAGACUGCAGAAAGGAUAAAAGAAACAUUGGUAGAACCCUCUAUCAACACUGUAUUCUCACACAGUGUUGAAGCUUCUUCCUUUCUAUUUCUGAGAGAGGACCAGGAGCAACCUCCAGGGCACACACUGUGUGCUGGGCUCAUGCAUCCUGCCACACUAUGGCUUUAGGAUAGAAGGUUCUGGGCAAUGUGUCCAGGGCUGCCUUUGCAGCUAUGCCCUAGGAAGCUUCUGGGCUGGGAUCCAGCCCUGCACGUUUCCACCACAUCUUGCCACUUUUUGGUGUCUGUUCAUCCUUCUGGUCCCAUUUGGCUUCUCUUACUACUGCUGUUAAUCCAGCCUGAGGUGGGGGCAGAGCCCUGGACAUGAGUGGAAAACCUGUGUGUUUCUAAGGUGCUGUUUGGCCUUGAGCAAGUUUCUGGAAACAAACACUUUAUUUUGUUUUAUUUUAUUUUUUGACUCACUACUCACUAUGAAAAUUAAUAUGAUUCAGAAAAUUAUAAGGAAGAAAAUAAAAAUCCCCACAACUGACAACCAGAGAUACCCUGUGUUGAUAGUUUGUUGACAGAACACUAGUUCUGUUUCUGUAUCUCUACAGAAAUCAUGCAGGAUUUCAUUUUAAAAACCUCACAUUAUGGCUCUAGUUUUCUCAGGCAAUUGUCACACGGAUUUCAUCAGAUUGGUAAGCUACCCCACUGUUGGACAGUUAAGCUGCUGCUUGGUUUUUUGUUCUUAUAAGUGCUGCUACAGUGAGCACUCUUAGUACAGAGAUUUGCUCACAUUCAUGAUUCUUCCCUUUGGCAAUAUUCUUAUAAGAGUCAGAGAGUGUGAACAAAGCAAUCAUCUUGCCAGGCCUUGACUUCCUUGCCUGGAAUAAAUCAUCAGCAACAAUGCUCACAGCAGUAAAAAACCGUCCUGUGCACCACACACCAGGCACAGCUACCCACCUAUGUAACCUACUCAGCUGCCCUGCCGUGGUCUUCCCAUUUCAUGGAAGGAGCUCUCCAGGAAGCAGGGUGGUGGGAUUUCACCCCAGGCCGUCUGGCUGCAGAGUCCUACUCUCAACUGCUAUUGCUGAUAUUGCCUCUGUGAGAUCAAAAGUCUGAACCAAACAACCGCUAGGAUACCUUUCAUAACUAACACUAUUUGUGUUCCCUUGGAACACAGUCGCCUGAUCCCAGUUCACAGUCUCCUUUAUUCCUCUUUAUUCUCCCGUUCCUGGCUUGAUGAGGGUGGAGUGAGUGCGAGCGUGUGUGUGUGACUGCAUGUGUGUUUAUACAGCCUUAUGAAUGGAACAGUCGGCAGACAGAAUGUGAAGCAAGGAAUCCUGAACAACCUUAUCGACAAAACACAAAAACACGGCUCAUCGGUGUGAUCCAGAUAGCUCAUCCUGCUUUCCCUUUUAUCUUAAAGUUCCCAGGCUCUCUGGCUGGGAAAUUUGUUAUUUUUUAAUUGGACCAUCACUUCGGUGGAGCCAGAAUGGGUUGGAUAUGGCUAUCUGGCAGGACCCCUUCCUCAAAACAAGCAUCUGAAUAUGCUGUCUGAAGAGAAUGUGUCCCCUCAUUGUGCCUUCAGGAACCAUCACUAGGUGUGAUUAUUCAUCCAGUGGGUAAGGAGAUAAUUGGCAAACUCCUUGCUGGAAUAAACAUGUCUACACUGCUUUUAUUGCUUGCUAAAUUCAGUUGUCCAUUGGAAUCUGAAGAAGACUGGUUCCAGAAUUCCCCACAGAUACCCAAAUCUGCAGAUGCUCAAGUCCCUUAUGUAACACCAUAUAGUAUUUGCAUAGAACCUAGACAUCUUCCUGUAUGCUUUAAAUCGUCUCUAGAUGCUUUGUGUGCCUAGUAAAAUGUAAGUGCUAUAUAAAUAUUUGUUAAACUACAUUGUUUAUGGAGUAAUGAAUAAGAAAAAUAGUGUACAUAUACAGUACAGGUACAAUCUUUAUCUGAAUGGUUUUGGUCCAAGGUUGGUUGAAUCAUUGGGUAUGAAACUCAUGGAUAUAAAGGAUCAGCUAUACAGAGACUUCUAGGCCUCCCUAAAAAUCAGUAGAUUUGGGAGAAGUUGGAGACUCCAUUUUUUAAAAUACAUGAGCUCCAAGUGAUUAUUUCAGGAUGUUUAGACUUCCUAUGACCUGUAAGCAGGUCUCAACUUUACAGAGCAUUGGAAUUACCCAAGAAGAUUUUAAAAAGUCUUCCUGCCUGUCUGCUGUCCCUUGCUCUACUUUGAAUAAUUGAUCCAGGGUGAAACCCAGAUAAAGCAUUAAAAAAAAAUUCUCAAGAGGUCUUGUGUGGAGCCAGUAAGACACCACCAGCCCAAGAAAUUCUAUUACACCUUUAUAUUUAAUAAUUUUAUACUCGAUAUGUAAUUUUAUAUUUAAUAUAUUUAUAUGCAAUAUUUAUAUUGAUUAUGAUUUUAUAGUUAAUACUUUUAUAAUUUUAUAAUAUUUUAUAAGUCUCUUUUACUGUGGACUACCAUAACAAUCCAGUGUUAUGAUUGCUCUUGUCCCAGAGAGGUUGACUGUGUUGUGCAAGGUCACAUAGCAUCUCUGUGUGUCAGCAGCUGCCAUUCUCUGCCCAGCCCACAGCCAGUCCUGCCAGGCCCUUUGGGAAGAGCAGCCUCCAUGCCCCGAGAGUCUCCCAGGAUGAAAUAGUCCUUCAGGUGCCUCUCAGUGCUGACUCGGGAGCCCUUUCUUUCCCUCCUCACCCACCUCUGUGACUGCACCCUUCCUCCUUCCCUGUGCACUGUGCAGUGAUGCCAUCCUCCCACGCCCCAUCCCACUUACCAGUGAGAGAAUGACACUGAGGGACAGAAAGCCUGGGGGCUGGCCAGUCCACAUCACCCACAGUGGUCUGAAGACACAGACAUGCUGACCCUUAGCCUCAGAUCCAGGCCCUUCUCUGCUGUCGCUCUGCAGAAAGCACAGUGCAUUGCCGGCACCAAGAGACUCUCAUCUACACCCAGGCUGUCCCACAGCUGUGUCCCCUUCUCCCCUGUUGCCACUCCAGUCAAGCAUUCUCACAGCCAUCACAGCUUCCCUGGCCCUGUACCCAAUACCGUCUCCCUCCCUACUUCCAAAUAACCCCAAAGCCCACCUGAGUCCUUCCUGAGAGGCCACUUCCUGCUGCAGCUGAGUCCCCCCUCUGGGUUGACAGGAGCUUCGCAAGGUGGGUCAGGGGGCAGAAGAGCCAUAACCAGGAACUGCAUGCGUCCCUUCCACAGCCCCCACCCAGCAACCAGCUCUCAGCUCGAAAUCUGUCCCUGACUCAAACCGAGGACUUUUGUUUCUCUUUCCUCUUCUUCUUCUUGUCCAAACCUUUUUCCUCGCACAGGCUGCAUCCUGGAGAAGCUCCCAGCAACUGCAGGCUUUCUGUGUCAGCAUCCUGCAGUCUCCAUCGGGAUGCUGGGGGGGCAGGAUGGAGGAGGCGGGGUUUGGCCUUACAGGCGAUACAGGCAGCAGAACUGCACCUAGACAGGAGUACCAAAUGCUGAUCUAACAUCGCCUACUGAUGUGGCAGCCCUGUCAUUGAGGCCAAGCCACCACCAGCUUUUUUGUGCAGCUACAUCUUUCUUUUCCUCUUGCAGGGCUUGCACACUGCAAGUUGGCCUGGAGGGUCCGUGGCUUUUCAUCUCCCUGCACUGACUUUCAGGGAAGGCUCUCUCUCUCUGACAGCAAGGCCAGCCUGCUACUGGGUCCCUCUCCCUGUUAUACAACGAUCCUUAUGUGUCUGUGAACUUUCUGCUGGAUGAUAUUUGGAAGGAGCAUAGGGAAGGAGGGUAGUCGCCAGCUCUUCUCUCCCAAAGCAAAGGAAAGAUUUUGACUCUCAAAGUGGUCCCUGGAGUUACAUGUGACCCAGAACAUCUGGUUUGGUGGAUCUUACCUUUCUGGUUGGAUAUGGUCUGACAUCUGUCAGAUGGCCCAAGAGUCCUACCCAGUAACCUCCUUUACUUCCCAAUAUCCACAGCUUAUGAGCCAGAUUGGUAUUGUCAGACCCAUUUCCCCACAGCGGAUUGGACCAGGGUUGAACUUGAGCCAGUCUCAGUCUCUUUCCUAGAAAGCUUAGUUGGAACAAAAGGUUCUGGUUCAGCUUGUACUCUAUGGGAGAAAUAGCAAACCUUCUAGUCAGGGGAGCUGGAAGGGGUCUGAACCAUCUUCUGACUUCACUUCCCAUUUGUAAAUGAAAUAAAGAGUUGAAGACCUAAGAGAUCAUUUGAUUGACCCAAAUCCACAUGGCCACUAUAGCUACUUUAUAACAGAGCUGGAUCUUGGUGUUCAAAGUGUUAAUACAAAUAUUCUCUUGGCUAAGAGGUAAUGAAUUGGCAAAUAAUAUCUUAUGGAAGCUUAUAUUCAGCUCAAAUUUUGAAGAAAUGAUAUUAAUUAGGCACUACAUGGUGUUUAGUGGAAACUGCACAGGUCCCAGCAUCUGACUGAGCUGGACUUGAACUCUGGCUGUUCCCCUCACUAGCAUUUGGACCUUGGGCACAUUUCUCACAUUUAGGUAUUGAUUCCUCAACUAUAGAAUGGGGAUCAUAGGGCUGGGGAUGUAACUCAGCAGUAGAGUGCUUGCCUAGCAUUUGUGAGGCCCUGGGUUCCAUCCAGCAAUGCAAAACAGUACAAAACAAAAAAUUCAACAAGAAACAAAAAAUAACAACAAAAAAAGGGAGGGGUUUUGUUGUUACAGGGUGUUCUAAUGAGGAUUAGAGACGCUUUGCAAUUAAUCUUUGCUUCAUAAAAGAAAAGAGGUCUUUCUAUUUAAAUCAAUAAUAUUCUGUAUUCCUAGUAUUCUAUUCUGCAGCUGGUGUGGUUUUGAAAUUAUUUAGGGCCCUUCUCUCUCUCUCUCUCUCUUUUUUUUUUCAAUUCUUUAGCAGCACUCUUUUAGGGAGCUGUUGGCUGCAUCUGACAGUGGCAUUUAGAAACAAAAGAUCUAGUCAAGCCAGGCUCUGUAAUGGGGAAGUAGACCCCGUCUCCUGAUGGGAGGGGCUUCCAAGUCACUUUGCCAAGGGCGCAUGGGGAAAUGGAACCAUUUUGGCAAUGGGUUUGCCAGAGACAAUGAUGUUGGUUUGAGGGAUUCUGUUCUUGGGACUUGCUGGACUUCCCCCUUGUGCUCACAGAUGGCAGCAGCAGUUCCAGGCCUCCUGUGCUCCCACAGCUGUGACUGAAUUCAGGAAGGGCCAAGAGUCCUCCUAGGGAUCAGAACUUGCGGCUCCCACUAGGACGUGGUUAGGACACUCCCUAACCAGGAUCACUGGGAGGGUGGGAUACCCAUGAUGUGUUUAUUUAUUUUUAACUUUUGAGACAGGGUCUCCUUAUGUUGCCCAGGUUGUGCUUGAACUCUCAGUCAAGCGAUCCUCCCACCUCAGCCUCCUGAGUAGCUGGGGCUUCAGGCACAUACCACCUGCCCACCACUGUGAUCUCUUUAGAGUCAGUGGGAGUCACCCAGCAGGGCUGGGGAGGGACCAGAAAUCCGAACAAAACAGGAGAUUAGAGACCAAAGAAAACAGGAGUUGGCAGCAGGGCUGGGAAUCAUUAGGGUGUGGAGGACACUCUACCUGGAGGCUGUCCCCCUUUAGUAGACAUUAGUCUGCAGCUUAAAUGUGCCAGGCCCCAUGAAAUGGAAAGUAAGCAGGACUUCAGUCUUUGUAGAGAGACCAUGUCCUGAGGGCAGAGACAGUGAACAACUGGCUGUGGUAAGUUACAGUGGUGAGAGGUAGGAGUUGGCGGCAGCUUUGGGGCUUACAUCAGGGCCCAGAUCCCACCCAGCUGUUCACCCCUUCACCACUGAUCUCUCACUAAGAGUGAUAGAAAAACGAACAAUGCAGGAGUCAGGAUACAACUAGUUAGUAUCUAGUUAAAGUAUCUAGUUAGUAUGUAAUUAAAACUGCUUCCAGUUGCCUGCAAUUCUGUGCUCUUGGGUAAAAGACUGAAUUGAGACAUAUGGCUGGGAUACAGACCAAAGGGAGGGUCUCUUUUUCUUAUGUAUCUUAGAACUAAAAUCUGUGACCAUCUCAUUUAGAGGUGACUUCUGGGAGAAAGAGAGAAAGCAAGACCACAAAGUUGCUCUAGGUCCACUUGCCCUGAUGGUUUCAUAGAGUGUGAAUCAUAUGGACAGAAGAAAAUAUGCUUGGCCCAAGGGGCCAAGAACUGAAAAGCAAGCUGGUUAUGAAGACAGGUUGAAGGCACAGUAACUCAGUUAACUACUAAGACUUGGUUUGCCAAAAAAAAAAAAAUUCCUUGUUUUUUUUUUUUUUUUUGGCUUGACCUUUAGAUUGGGAAUUACUCUGCUUUAGAGAACAUUUAGGGGAAACUAGGAAAUACAAGCAAAGCAGGUAGAAUCUGCAAUGAUACAGAGUCACAUAGUAGGUGCUCUGGAUUCUUCCUGUGGACUGGAGGGAAUCAGGGAAGGUUCCUCAGAGAAAUGACCUCAUCAGCAGGGCUUUGGAAGAGGACCUGGAAAUUUCAAGGUUGAAAAGAAAAUUCUUAAUAAAAGAAAUGGCUUCAACAUAUGCAUGCACAGAGCUGGAGAAUGAGAUAGUGUGUUCAAGGAACUGGGAGCUUGGGGUACAGGAAAUGGGAGAAAGGGUGCAGGGCAGGCUGGAGAAUGAGGUGGGAUUCUGAUGGUGAAGAGCCAUGAAGCUACCAGAAGUUGAUUCCUUCUGGUGGCCAUGGGAGCAAGCAAGAAUUUUAAAUCGGGCAGGACAUGCUCGGUAUGUAUAUUUGAAUGAAGUCUCCUGCUGAAGGAAAGACAGGAAUGGGAAAGAUUAGCUGUCCCCUAGGAGCCAAGACUAGCAUAGCCAGUUUCUGGGAGAGGUGUUAGGGUGGUCCACCUGGCCAGGAGGAAUAUUUUAUCACUGACAUUAUUUAUAUUUGACAUGAAAAUAAAAAGUGGUCUGACUUUUGGCCAGUUUUACGAUGGUUUUUAAAUUCUCUGUGGACAAUGUACCCCUAUACUCCCUGAGCAGGGGCAGACCCUCAAUGCACCCUGCUUGGUUCAUAGCAGAUGGGGUGGGGUGAGGGAGGGAUUCUUGCAGGUAUCCAGGGAGGAGGGCAACACUCACGUGCUAAACAUCUGCUAGGAAUUUGUGGUUGGAUGGGCCCAGUGUAGGCUCCGCAGCUCAGAGGUGGAUUUCAAAAGAACAUUUGUAUUGGGGUGCUGCUGCACCAGGCUGCAGAGAACUUUCUCCAAGAGUUCUGAGGUUAGAAAAUUCCCAGAGCUCAGGAUGAGGCUGGGAUGGCGCCAGGGGUGGUUAUCGUCAUUUGACUGACCUCAGGGACAAAGGGUCUCGUACAUUCCAUUUCCUAGUUGACAUCCCCUAUACCCACCUAGCAGCUUUGAGAACAUUUCUCCCCGCCUCGCACACACAACUUGGAGGGUACAACAUCUCUUUUGUUCCUGAAAUAUCCUCAAUAAAGCAUUCAGCACUUCCAGGAAGUCAUCAUGCCCAGAUGACAAAUGGGCUUAUUCAGAAACAAAGGGAGAGCUUUGUCUGCUGCCCCCAUUCCUCCAGGAUUGCUCCCAGCCUGGAUGCCCCCUGGAGUGUUCCCUGGUGCUGCUCCAUGGAGAGCAGAACCUGAGGAUAACAGAGGCUACCCUUGUCCUCUGAUUGUUUUUCAAGUGCUGCCUGCACGAAAUGUGACAGGAUGGUUCUAUUUUGUUUGCCUGACUUGAAUGCAACACUUAACUUAUCAGGAUUUUUGCUGUUGUUGUUAUUGUUCUUUUUCUUUUUUAAAAAAUUCAGCUGUCUGAUAAGAAUGUAGUGAUGGCCCAUCAAGGUCUUUAAUUUGCAUUUCCUUGACACUAAGUGAAGUUGAGUUUCCUUCCAUGUGUUUGAACUGUGUAAUCUCUCCAGGGAAAUGUCCCCUCAUGUCUUUUGCUCAUUCCCAAUUAAAUAGUUUGCCUUUCUGUCUUCUUUAGAUAUUCUAGAUAUGAAUAUUUUAUCUAACAUGUUGUUUACAAGAUGAGCCACAGAUUGUUGAUAAAAUCGUAUUUAUCAAUACUUUGAUUUAGGAAUUAUGCUUUUGGUAUAAAAUCUAACACUGUUCAUCAAACCAUAGAAAGUUUUCUCCCAAAUUUUCUUUAAAAAGUUUGUAGUCUUAAAUAUUAUAUUGAAAUCUAUAUUCUGUUUGAAAUUCUUUUUAUGUAGCAUGAGGUUUAGGUCAAAGUUUUUUUUUUUCCCCCCCAUCUGAUAGAUGUUCAAUUACUUCAACCAUUUGCUAUAAAAUCUAUCCUUCCUGCAUUAAAUUAUUUUAGUUGUCCAUACUUAUAAGAGGGUAUGUCGAUGGACUCUAUUCUGUUCUAUUGAUGCAUGCAUCCAGUCAGCUAUCAGACUUAAUUACUACAGCUGAAAAAUUGAUGCAAAAUCUGGUCAAUUGAUUCUUCCCCAUUUACUUUUUUUUUUUGGAAAAAUUGCCUUAGCUCUUUCUGUUCCUUUGCCUUUCCAUAUAAAAUUUAAGAUAUAAUUAACUCUACAUGGAAAAAAGUCUUGCUAAGAUUUUGAUAGGAAUUGUGUUAAAUCUAUAAAUCGAUUUGAGCAUUGAUCUCAUUAUCAUCUAGAGUAUUUUAAUCCAAGAACAUGCUACAUCGCUCCAUUUAAUUAGAUAUACUUUCAUUUCUUUCAUUAUUACCUUGAACUUUUCAUCAUACAAGCCUUGUUACAUGUUCUGUUAGAUGUAUGCUUACCUGUAUCUUGAAAAAGCAGUUGUCAAUAUUAUUGCAUUUAUAAUCACAAUUCUCAUGUGCCCAUUUCUGAUGUAUAGAAAUACAACCAAGUUUUGCACAUUGGUCUUGUAUCCUGUAAUAUCACACUUGCUUAUUAGGUCAAGGAGUUAAAUUUAUUAGCUUCUCUGUUGUACCUCAUUUUCUUGAGAGGGAUUUGGGUCACUGUGAAAAGUAAGAAAAUAAAUUCUACGUAGAGACCAGGUCAUGGGUAAAUGUGUCUGAAUCAUUUUAUUUAUAUGCUUGUGUUUUUGUAAGAUGAUUUAUUGGACAUCUGAUGACUCCUGUGUGUCAGGUUUGCAUUAAUGCAAAGUUAAUGUCCACCAUACAUGGUUUUAGGUAGUAAAAAGUAGGAGGUUUGCAGUUAUUGUCAACUUUAAGUAAUGUUUCUGGGAUUCAUACUAGUGAUUGGCGUUUGACAUUUUAGUUCACUUGAUGAGCUAAAAUCUCAGUUGUUGAUUCUUGCUUGGAAAUUAGAGAAAAUGCUAGCACCAGGCAACUUCCUUCCCCACCCUAAGCUGAGGCUCUGUGUACUUUUUAUAUUGUUGGCUUCAACUCAGAGCUAUUUAGGGGAAGUUAGGCUUUCUGGUAGUUCCUUUGCCUCAACUGGUAGUGAACCAAAGCCCAGUAAAAUAAUUCUCUGUGGUGUGAGACCAGAACUGAGGGUUCUAAGUCUACAAUGAAGAUCAAUCCUGGUGCAGUAGAGAACAUAGACUUUGGUAUUUUGCUGUCUUGGUUUCGUCUAGCUAGCAGUGUGAUUUGGGGUGAAUUAUUUAAGUUUGUGGAGCCACAGGAUUCUCAUCUGUGAAACAGAGAAGAUAAUGUCUGUCUCAAAGGAUGGAUGGAUUUAUUCAUGAUUAAUUUAUUUCAAAUAUCUUAAACAUAGUAACUGAUGAAUAAAACAUAAUUAUUAUUAUAAUUAGGCUAUAUUGCUUAGGUCUCAUUGGUUCUGUAAUUAAUUUAGUGCAGUUCUUUAUUUUGGUUAUAAGUGACUAAAAAUCUAGCUCAAAUAAUCAUAAAAGGGACUUUGAUUAACUCAUGUAACUUCAUCUAAACUUGGGCUAAGGGUAUAGUAUGUGAUCUAUGGGGUUUUUGUUUUUUCAUUUCUUUUAAUGCAGUUUUUCUUCAUGUUGGCUUCCAAAGAUGGCAAGAUAGCUAAUAAAUCCAGGCAUACACCCUCCCAGGUUCUCGUUCAAUAAAAAUAGUGUUUGACCUGACAACACCUGUGAUCUGAUUUUUCAUUGGUUAGAAAUUCACCUUCUGCUUAUAUGUGGACAAAUUAUUAGGCCAAGGGAAUGGUAUGCUCCGAUUUGACAUAUCUGGGUUACAUGCACACCUUGGAUCCAAGGUUGGAGCAGCUUUUACCCAAAAGACUUAGACUGAUCAUGGAAUAUGGAGACAAUUUCUCUAGGGAAAUUUGUAAUCCACCAUGAAAAGAAGGGUUAAAAUGUUGGGUAGCCAAGAAAGUAACACCCUUUCUUCAAACAAACAAAUAAUGAGAAACAAGUAUCUAUUGCAUCCAGGUUCUUCAAUGGCUCUUUCAGCACGAGNAGGUUGAAAAGAAAAUUCUUAAUAAAAGAAAUGGCUUCAACAUAUGCAUGCACAGAGCUGGAGAAUGAGAUAGUGUGUUCAAGGAACUGGGAGCUUGGGGUACAGGAAAUGGGAGAAAGGGUGCAGGGCAGGCUGGAGAAUGAGGUGGGAUUCUGAUGGUGAAGAGCCAUGAAGCUACCAGAAGUUGAUUCCUUCUGGUGGCCAUGGGAGCAAGCAAGAAUUUUAAAUCGGGCAGGACAUGCUCGGUAUGUAUAUUUGAAUGAAGUCUCCUGCUGAAGGAAAGACAGGAAUGGGAAAGAUUAGCUGUCCCCUAGGAGCCAAGACUAGCAUAGCCAGUUUCUGGGAGAGGUGUUAGGGUGGUCCACCUGGCCAGGAGGAAUAUUUUAUCACUGACAUUAUUUAUAUUUGACAUGAAAAUAAAAAGUGGUCUGACUUUUGGCCAGUUUUACGAUGGUUUUUAAAUUCUCUGUGGACAAUGUACCCCUAUACUCCCUGAGCAGGGGCAGACCCUCAAUGCACCCUGCUUGGUUCAUAGCAGAUGGGGUGGGGUGAGGGAGGGAUUCUUGCAGGUAUCCAGGGAGGAGGGCAACACUCACGUGCUAAACAUCUGCUAGGAAUUUGUGGUUGGAUGGGCCCAGUGUAGGCUCCGCAGCUCAGAGGUGGAUUUCAAAAGAACAUUUGUAUUGGGGUGCUGCUGCACCAGGCUGCAGAGAACUUUCUCCAAGAGUUCUGAGGUUAGAAAAUUCCCAGAGCUCAGGAUGAGGCUGGGAUGGCGCCAGGGGUGGUUAUCGUCAUUUGACUGACCUCAGGGACAAAGGGUCUCGUACAUUCCAUUUCCUAGUUGACAUCCCCUAUACCCACCUAGCAGCUUUGAGAACAUUUCUCCCCGCCUCGCACACACAACUUGGAGGGUACAACAUCUCUUUUGUUCCUGAAAUAUCCUCAAUAAAGCAUUCAGCACUUCCAGGAAGUCAUCAUGCCCAGAUGACAAAUGGGCUUAUUCAGAAACAAAGGGAGAGCUUUGUCUGCUGCCCCCAUUCCUCCAGGAUUGCUCCCAGCCUGGAUGCCCCCUGGAGUGUUCCCUGGUGCUGCUCCAUGGAGAGCAGAACCUGAGGAUAACAGAGGCUACCCUUGUCCUCUGAUUGUUUUUCAAGUGCUGCCUGCACGAAAUGUGACAGGAUGGUUCUAUUUUGUUUGCCUGACUUGAAUGCAACACUUAACUUAUCAGGAUUUUUGCUGUUGUUGUUAUUGUUCUUUUUCUUUUUUAAAAAAUUCAGCUGUCUGAUAAGAAUGUAGUGAUGGCCCAUCAAGGUCUUUAAUUUGCAUUUCCUUGACACUAAGUGAAGUUGAGUUUCCUUCCAUGUGUUUGAACUGUGUAAUCUCUCCAGGGAAAUGUCCCCUCAUGUCUUUUGCUCAUUCCCAAUUAAAUAGUUUGCCUUUCUGUCUUCUUUAGAUAUUCUAGAUAUGAAUAUUUUAUCUAACAUGUUGUUUACAAGAUGAGCCACAGAUUGUUGAUAAAAUCGUAUUUAUCAAUACUUUGAUUUAGGAAUUAUGCUUUUGGUAUAAAAUCUAACACUGUUCAUCAAACCAUAGAAAGUUUUCUCCCAAAUUUUCUUUAAAAAGUUUGUAGUCUUAAAUAUUAUAUUGAAAUCUAUAUUCUGUUUGAAAUUCUUUUUAUGUAGCAUGAGGUUUAGGUCAAAGUUUUUUUUUUUCCCCCCCAUCUGAUAGAUGUUCAAUUACUUCAACCAUUUGCUAUAAAAUCUAUCCUUCCUGCAUUAAAUUAUUUUAGUUGUCCAUACUUAUAAGAGGGUAUGUCGAUGGACUCUAUUCUGUUCUAUUGAUGCAUGCAUCCAGUCAGCUAUCAGACUUAAUUACUACAGCUGAAAAAUUGAUGCAAAAUCUGGUCAAUUGAUUCUUCCCCAUUUACUUUUUUUUUUUGGAAAAAUUGCCUUAGCUCUUUCUGUUCCUUUGCCUUUCCAUAUAAAAUUUAAGAUAUAAUUAACUCUACAUGGAAAAAAGUCUUGCUAAGAUUUUGAUAGGAAUUGUGUUAAAUCUAUAAAUCGAUUUGAGCAUUGAUCUCAUUAUCAUCUAGAGUAUUUUAAUCCAAGAACAUGCUACAUCGCUCCAUUUAAUUAGAUAUACUUUCAUUUCUUUCAUUAUUACCUUGAACUUUUCAUCAUACAAGCCUUGUUACAUGUUCUGUUAGAUGUAUGCUUACCUGUAUCUUGAAAAAGCAGUUGUCAAUAUUAUUGCAUUUAUAAUCACAAUUCUCAUGUGCCCAUUUCUGAUGUAUAGAAAUACAACCAAGUUUUGCACAUUGGUCUUGUAUCCUGUAAUAUCACACUUGCUUAUUAGGUCAAGGAGUUAAAUUUAUUAGCUUCUCUGUUGUACCUCAUUUUCUUGAGAGGGAUUUGGGUCACUGUGAAAAGUAAGAAAAUAAAUUCUACGUAGAGACCAGGUCAUGGGUAAAUGUGUCUGAAUCAUUUUAUUUAUAUGCUUGUGUUUUUGUAAGAUGAUUUAUUGGACAUCUGAUGACUCCUGUGUGUCAGGUUUGCAUUAAUGCAAAGUUAAUGUCCACCAUACAUGGUUUUAGGUAGUAAAAAGUAGGAGGUUUGCAGUUAUUGUCAACUUUAAGUAAUGUUUCUGGGAUUCAUACUAGUGAUUGGCGUUUGACAUUUUAGUUCACUUGAUGAGCUAAAAUCUCAGUUGUUGAUUCUUGCUUGGAAAUUAGAGAAAAUGCUAGCACCAGGCAACUUCCUUCCCCACCCUAAGCUGAGGCUCUGUGUACUUUUUAUAUUGUUGGCUUCAACUCAGAGCUAUUUAGGGGAAGUUAGGCUUUCUGGUAGUUCCUUUGCCUCAACUGGUAGUGAACCAAAGCCCAGUAAAAUAAUUCUCUGUGGUGUGAGACCAGAACUGAGGGUUCUAAGUCUACAAUGAAGAUCAAUCCUGGUGCAGUAGAGAACAUAGACUUUGGUAUUUUGCUGUCUUGGUUUCGUCUAGCUAGCAGUGUGAUUUGGGGUGAAUUAUUUAAGUUUGUGGAGCCACAGGAUUCUCAUCUGUGAAACAGAGAAGAUAAUGUCUGUCUCAAAGGAUGGAUGGAUUUAUUCAUGAUUAAUUUAUUUCAAAUAUCUUAAACAUAGUAACUGAUGAAUAAAACAUAAUUAUUAUUAUAAUUAGGCUAUAUUGCUUAGGUCUCAUUGGUUCUGUAAUUAAUUUAGUGCAGUUCUUUAUUUUGGUUAUAAGUGACUAAAAAUCUAGCUCAAAUAAUCAUAAAAGGGACUUUGAUUAACUCAUGUAACUUCAUCUAAACUUGGGCUAAGGGUAUAGUAUGUGAUCUAUGGGGUUUUUGUUUUUUCAUUUCUUUUAAUGCAGUUUUUCUUCAUGUUGGCUUCCAAAGAUGGCAAGAUAGCUAAUAAAUCCAGGCAUACACCCUCCCAGGUUCUCGUUCAAUAAAAAUAGUGUUUGACCUGACAACACCUGUGAUCUGAUUUUUCAUUGGUUAGAAAUUCACCUUCUGCUUAUAUGUGGACAAAUUAUUAGGCCAAGGGAAUGGUAUGCUCCGAUUUGACAUAUCUGGGUUACAUGCACACCUUGGAUCCAAGGUUGGAGCAGCUUUUACCCAAAAGACUUAGACUGAUCAUGGAAUAUGGAGACAAUUUCUCUAGGGAAAUUUGUAAUCCACCAUGAAAAGAAGGGUUAAAAUGUUGGGUAGCCAAGAAAGUAACACCCUUUCUUCAAACAAACAAAUAAUGAGAAACAAGUAUCUAUUGCAUCCAGGUUCUUCAAUGGCUCUUUCAGCACGAGAAAGAUGUCAUAGCUUAUUCAUAACAACACCAAAAUAGGAAAAGGAACCUGUUCAGACUUUGUGUAAUGAAUUUCUGUAUUCAUACAUGGACUUGCUACUUCAGAAUACAGGAUUACAGAACUAGCAAAGAAUGUUUUGUAUGACUUUUAUCUAAAUGUCAUGUCACUAGUACUUUUUUCGAAAUGAUAAUAGUUUUAUUCUGAUUAUUGAGAUAUAAUAUGCCUAUAGGUAUAGAGAGCAAAGUAAAAGUUGCCAGUAAUCUCACAAUCCAGACAUAACUCCUGUCAACAUCUUAGCAUAAUUAUUCCAGAUUUGUUUAUGUGUGUAUAUGUCUUGUGCAUAUAAAAUAUUUAGUUGACAUAAAAUCAAACUUAAAUUUACUUUAUUAUCUUUUUUUAACUUCCUAUAUUCUGGAUGUCCUUUUGUGUUAAUAAAUAUAGAUUAUAAAAUUAUGACUUUAAAGACUGCAUACAUUUGAAUAGAAAUACCAUAACUAUUUAACCAUCUUCUAUUAAUUCACUUUUUCAUGAUUAUAAAGCAAUACACUGAUAAAUAUCCUGACCUAUACACAUUUAUCUCUUAUCUUGUGAAUAAAUGUCUGGAAGUAGAAUUGCUAUGCUGAAGAUUGUGUAUGCCUUAAAGACUUUGACAUGUAUUACUAAAUUGUACUGCAGAGGCUGUAUCUAUACUGGGUAGGGUUGACAGAUAAAAUAUAAGCUGUCCAGAAAUUGACAUAAGCAAUGAAUAGCGUUUAAUAUAAGAAUGUCCCAAAUAUUGUAAAAUCAUCUGAAAUUCAAGCGCAACUGGGGAUCCUGCAUUUUUAUUUGCUAUAUCUGGUGAAUUUAAGACUGAGUAUCAAUCUCUGAUUCACAAACCCAAUAGUGUUUCUGCAUUUUCCAGACUGGGAUCCCCAGGCCUCCAAUCUCCAAGUCUGGCCACACAUCUAGAGGUGUGUGGGUCCCUUCAUUUUCCCUACUGCUGAUCUCUAACCUUUUUCUUAUGUCCAAACUAUUGGGGAAUCCUCACUGCUUCUCAUAUUAAAUUUGUCUGCUCAAAUUGCUAUACUUGAAUAUUACAGGCUGGGUGACUUCAACAACACAAAUAUAUUUUUUGACAGUUCUGGAGCCUGGCAGUCUGUGUUAGCCAGCUUUCUGUCACUAUAACAAAUACCAGAGAUAAUCAACUUAUAAAGAGAAAAGGUUUAUUUUGGCUCCCAGAUUUGGAGGUUCCAGUCCAUGAUUGGUUGGCCCUGUUGCUUUGGACCUGAGGUGAGGCCACACAUCAUGGCAGGAGUAUGUGGUUGAGCAAAACUGCUCACCUUAUCACCUGGAGGCAAAAGAGAGCAAGAGGGGGACUAGGGUCCCAGGACUCCUUUCAAGGGCACACCCCUAAUGACCUAGAGACCUCCCACUAGGCCCCACCUCCUGAAGGCUCUACCACCUCCCAAUAUUCUCACCUUGGGUACCAGGCCUUUAUCACAUGGGCCUUUGGGCAACAUUGGGCAUCCACAUGAUAGCAAAGUGCAGGAUCAAGGUGUCAUCAAAUUAGCUCCUGAUGAGGGCUCUCUUCCUGGCUUCUCAUUGUGCCUUCACAUGGCCUUUCUUUCCUCUGUGCAUACAAGAGAGAAUGAGCUCUUUUUCUCUGCCUUUUUCAUGAGAACACCAGUCCUGUCAGAUCAGGGACCCACCCUUAUGAUCUCACUUAACCUUAAUUAGAGGUCCCAUUUACAAGGGUUAGAUCUUCAGCACUAAAUUAUUUGGGGGAGUGGAGGGACACAAAUAUUCAGUUAUAUAACAUAUAACUUUAAGAAUGUUCUCUUACUAUUUGCUUUCAAAGACUCUCAAGGAAUUCAUGCUUUUGCUAAAAAAAAAAAAAGAAAAGAAAUGCAAAACAAGCAAACUCUGCUUAUGAAUAGAAGAAUAAAAUUUAUGGGUUAAACUCAAGAAAUUAAGGAGGAACUUGAUUUAAAGAUUUGUAACUUUAAUAAACUGAAUAUUUAUUUAUUUAAAACAAUGUAUCUUCUAAAUAACUUUUCAGCAUGCAGAAGUUACCUCAUGGAAACAUAAAAUCCACACAGUGAUAUGUACAUAUGUAUAGACUAGAAAGUAUAUCAAUAACACUAGUAGCCAUAAAUUAUAAAGUUACUGAACAUUGUGGCUUAUAACAACAACUGUCUCAAAUCCUCACACUGUGGGGUGACUUCAGUUAUUAUUUCCACUUCUUGGAUGAGGCCACCAAGUAAACAAGCGGUUUAAGGCCAAGUUUGUAUGACUUCCAAAGCAAGAAGUUUUCAUUUAGGACAUGAGUGAUUUUUUUUUUAGUGUAAAAAAAUUUUUUUAAAUUUUUUGUUUUUUAGAUGGCAGAAGUGUGUGAAUUGUUUAUAAUGAGUAUAUUUUGUGGGGGAUAUCAGGAAAAAAAUUCCCAUCUUAAAAAAACUGCAAUGGAUGAAUAUAGAAAUUGAGACUAACAGAUGGAAGAAAUCACCAGCUCUGUUUGAGAGUCACGCUUCUCACUCCUGAAUGUUCUAGCUGAGGGUUUGCAGGGAAGGCGUUAAUCUGAUGGGUAUAGAAUCGUUUCUUGUUGAAUUUAUUUCUCGUAGAUGAUUGUGACUGAUGUGCCCUUAAAGAUAAGGGUGAGCUGAAGCUUUGAGAGUGUCCUGACAAUUUUCCUAUGGGUGCUGAAAUAAACCAUAGACCUCAUUUGUCGCACAUCAUAGCUCCACCUCUCUGGGCAGCCAGAGGGCUUGGAUGAUAUAUUGGAAGGGAGUAGGAAGUAACACGUCACUCACAGAAAUGGCAGGAUAGUGGGGAGCAGUGGUUGGGCCUCACUUCUGAAACAGUGACAGGAAGAGUGAGUGCUGGUGAGGCCAUGGAGUUGGUCAGUGGUUCACACAGCAUCCAGUAAGGGAGAUCCCUCAGAUUCUGGUCCUCGACUCUCCCUGAUGUCAUGGCAUAGUCCAAGCUCUGGGGAGUGAAGUCCACUACAGAUGUGAACCCCACCUGGGCACAGUGGCACACACCUGUAAUCCCAGCGACUAGGGAGGCUAAGGCAGGAGGAUUGUGAGUUCAAAGCCAGCCUCAGCAAAAGCUAAGUGCUAAGCAACUCCGUGAGACCCUGUGUCUAAAUAAAAUACAAAAUAGGGCUGGGGGUGUGGCUCUGUGGUCGAGUGCCAGUGCCCCUGAAAUCAAUCCCUGGUACCUGUACCCCCCCCCCCCAAAAAAAAGAUGUGAUCCCUAGUAGGUAAUGCCAGAGACUGAUUUUGGGGGAAAGAUGGAUAUUUAAAAAAUAUAUGUAAAUAGAUAUAUUUAAAAAUAUAAGUGUAGUGGUCCAGUUGCAUUAUAUUGUAGAAUUUAAAAAAUUGGGAGUCCCCAUGACUAAUUACCACUUGCAUCUGAAGGAGAGUUAUUAAGGAAGAUUACCUGGUAGUCUUACUCUUUAAAGGGAACUUUUAAAAAUAUUGGUUUCUCAUAUAGUUCUGGAUAAAGAGGAAGAAAGAAAAAAGAUGAACUUAAACUUAUUUUACUCAGCAAAGGGUUAAAUUAACAUUGGUUUAUCAGGUAGUGCCUAAUUGCACAGGUAGUGUAAAUAAGUGGCGUUCAACAUUAAAUGUUGAAAUUUAGAGCCCCCUAGUGCCCCAUCUGAUGCUGAGCUUAGAAUUGUGUGCAUUACCUGAUGAAUGGUCAUUCUCAUGGUGCCCUUUCUGCCAGUCAGCAUCACCAGCUUUAUAUAACAGUGUAUGUGCUGCUGGGCACUGGUGGUGCCUGCCUGUAAUCCCAGUGACUAGGGAGGCUGAGGCAGGAGGAUUGUGAGUUCAAAGCUAGCCUCAGCAAAAGCAAGGUGCUAAGCAACUCGGUGACACCCUGUCUCUAAAUAAAAUACAAAAUAGGGCUGGGGAUGUGGCUCAGUGGACGAGUGCCCUUGAGUUCAAUCCCUAGUAACCAAGGAGACAAACAAACAAACAAACAAAUAAAUAAAAAAUAAAAAAGUAUGUGCAAUAGUUUGGUUAGUUUCUUGUAUAUUUUACUCCAAUUUUAUAAAAACAAGGGAAAAUGCACACAUUCACAUCCACAACACAAAAGCCUUGUGCUAAUAGUGUUGAGACAAGAUGAAAAUCAUUAGAUUUGCUACAGUGAUGAAUCUUUAGCUUCAGUCAGAUGGUCACUGGGGUUCAGCCAGUUGAAGGUAUGGUGGAUUGUGGAGGAAGGAAUCAGUUCAAGGUCAUAUGUGGAAUGCUCGACAUAUAUCAUUGAUGACUGUGUCUAUAAAGCAAACCUCCUGGGUUUGGUGACACCUCUCCAGGCCAGCAACUACAUGCAACACAAUCUCCUGCACACUGCAUGUUAGCAUACAUUUCCAGAAUCACGUCUGAGGAUGGGCACUGGUGGUAUAGAGCAGAGGGUGACUGGGCUUUCACAGAAAAGCAUGCCGUCUCCAUGUUGUAGAAUUUUAGGGUGGGGAUGAGACAGAUGAGUGGAAGUUGCUUGUUGAAGUUUUAAAACAUAGCUGGAAUAUAAUGAAACAAAUGACUUCUUCCAUGAAGCUUAGAACUCGGCCUCUCUCUGGAGUGUGUGUGUGUGUGUGUGUGUGUGCGCACGCACGUGUGUAUGUGUGUUGGGGAUGUGGGGUGGAAACAGAUAUUAACCCAAUAAGUCUAAGUGUAAAACUGCAAAUGUGCCAAGCAAGUGUUACAAAGGACCGAUACCCACAAAAGUGCUAUGAGAGCCUAAAAUAGGGGAAUAUAGUUUAAUGACAUUUUUGCUGACAUUUGAAUGAUGAAUAGGAGCUAAGUAGUCAAAGGAGGUGGAGUUCACAUUCCAGGCAGCGGGAACAGCAUGCCAUCCCCUGGGGUGGGGAAAUAUGGUACAGUGAUUGUAGGCAUAGAGGUUAAGAGUUUUAUCUAUGGGAUGCCGUGGACAGGUUUUAAGCAGGUGUGUGUGUGUGUGGGGGGGUGAUAGGAUCAGAUUUGUAUUUGAAAAUAUCAGUCUGGUCACACUGUAAUAGGUUGGAGGUACUGGAUGGAUGUGGGUGGGCCAUUUAUCGAGUUUUGCUAGUGUGCAGGUGAAAGAUGGUCUUAGGGUGAUAGUGACACAGAUGGACAGAGGUGAAUGGGUUUGAGACCUAUGAGGAGGUGAGAACUACCUCAAGACUCAGGAUGGAUUGAGGUGGUAGAUGGGAGAAAAAGGGGUGAAUGAGAAGAGGAGCAUGACUUCUAGGCCUUAAUUACAUAAAGUUGCAGAUGUGUUGAUCUGUUUUGUGUUGCUAUAAUAAAAUACCUGAGGCUGGGUAAAGAGGAGUAUUUGACUCACAACUUGAGAAGCUGAAUGAUCCAAACAGCAUGACACCAGCAUGCAGGCGAGGGCCCUCCUGGCUGCACCACAACAUGGUGGAGAAGUGGAAAGGGAAAAUGGUGGUGUGCAGAAGGGCAUGGAUGAUCUCACUCCACAACAACCUUCUCUCCCGGAUGUCACUGAUCCUUUUAUGAGGGUGGAGCCCCUGUGACCUAAUUACCUUCCACCAGGCCCCAUUUCAUUAGGGUUCCAUGCUCACCAUCACCACCCGGGGGACCAUGCUUCCAGCCAGUGAGCCUUUGGGAGACACACUCAAACCACCUCUGAACAUGGGAGUAGGUGACCAGUCGCCAUUUCAUUUGGAAAUUGGAUGGAGUACCAUUUGGGUGUGUAUGGGCUAAAAACUGAUCAUAUUUUUAAAAAUUACUUUAAUGUUCAUUAAGGUAAUAUUUGCAAAUGUUUUGGUGAACCAAACAAGAAUAUAAGUCUUCUCAGGAAAACCAGCACACCCUCUCUCUCUUGUCCUUAGCAAGUCCUCAAAGGAGAGUUUCAAUUAUCUUAAUAGUUUUUUUUUUUUUUUUGUAUUUACAUUUGUCUUUCAGUAAAUAUAUAUGCUGCUAUUUCUUGAUUUAUUUUUUUCAUUUAAUGAAUACUUUUAAAGCUCCUACUGGGUGCCAGUCACUCUGUUCUAUGCAAGGAUAUAUCGGUGAACAAGUUGUGGAUUCAUGUAGGGAGUAGAAUUCCCUGUGAUCAUGGAGCCUUGGUCCAGUGGGGAGAAUAAAUUUUUUAAAUGUUUAAAUAAACUAUUACUCUAACCACCUCUUUCUAUAGAAGUAGUAUCCUAUUUACAGAAGUUUAUGAAUGAUAAAUAAACUGUGGUGAGGGUGACAUAGGGAAUAUCAGGGAUAAAAUGCAACCUUAAUAAGGAAGUGGGAGAACGGGGGAUGCUACUGAGAAAACAAAAUCUGAGAAAAGAUCUGGAGUACAGGAGGAGGGAGCCCCGUGGAUACAUGGGGAAGGGCAUGCUAAGCAAAGGGAACAGCAUGUGCAAAGGCCCUGAGGUGGGAAGAUGUGAUAUAAUUGAGGAAGAGAACAUCCUAUGGUCCUCACCGCAGGAGCAAAGUAAGUCGUGGGAGAGCACUAAGGGUUAAGGUUAGAGUGGUAAGGUGGACUGACAGAUCAUUUAGGGCUACUCUUAACACCUUGACUCUGAGAGGUAGAACAUUACCUCUUGUGUUUGUCCAUGAAGCCAUAUGUCUUCUACUGCUUUCUCUGCCUCCCACAUAAUAUUUUGUUUAAGUCAGUGUUCAGUGUUUAUGUCAUUAUCAUUAUCAAGUAUUAUUUUCUGCAUUGCCAAGCAGUGCAUUAUGAUAAUGUUCAUUUAAUCUCUUGUAAACAUUUUGUUAAUAAUAGCCUCAUUUUCUUCACCUGAUUAAUUUUCUGUGUUCCUAUUUAUAAUUUGUUCCGAACUCUCCGACUGAGUUGAAAAAUCCCUCUAGACACCAUUUUUUUUGUGUGUGUCAUAUCACACUGAAUGUAUAGAAUGCAUCACACUGUGGGUUCUUUUAUUUCCCCCUAAAAUCUUUCAUUCUGGAACCUUCCAUUCUCCCCAUCCAUCUUGCCUGCUUUCUCUCUGCCCCAGCAAAGCCAGUAUCAUGGGAAUUUGUUUUCCUUCUCCUCUAUGUUGCGUUUCUGUUUUCCUGGACUAUGUUUCCUUCUUUCUUGAUUUAUUUCCUUUUAGGGAAGGGAAAUCCUCCAGUCAGCUUCUAAGAAAAGGUAAGUAGAAACUAGGGUUUUUAACCUUUCCCUCACAAUGCCUCUGUUCAAUUCUGAAAUUUCAUUUAUGGUUGGAUGGCUAUAAUAUUCCAGGAUGGAUAUCAUUUUGCCUCGGAAUUCUGGAGGCCUUCCUCCUCUCCUUCCUAACUUCCAGUCUUGCCGUGAGAUGUCAGUGCUUUUCUGAUUUCUUUUUAGGUGACCCCCCCUCCCCCUCAAGUGUUAACGUGUUCUCUUUUUCUUGGUACUUUGCAAUCAUGGCUCUGUGCUUUCAUGUGGAUGUGUUGGGUAUAGGCUUCCUGGACAAGAUAGAAGAUGCCUAUUAAAUUUGAAUUUCAGAUAAACUGCAAAUAAAGUUUGUAAUAUUUGGGACAUACUUACACUAAACACUUUUCUCUGCUUAUCCAAAAUGCAAAUUUAACUGAGUGUCCUUACUUGUGCUAAAAUAUGGCAACCUUAGAAGCUUGGUUUUUCAUUCUGGAGACUUGUGUCUUUUGGUUUGGGGAAUUUUUCAUGUGUUAUUUCUUUUCCUCUAAAUUGAAAUAUUAGUCUAAGCUUAAAAGAUAACGUAUUCAAUAAGGCCACUAGCCAACCGUGAACUUGCCCUCUUGUGUUCCCAAAUAGAAUCUCCUUCAGCUCUGUAGCUGUUUCAUCUAGACUUGUGACUAUGCUUCCUAAUAAUACACUUCCAUUGCUUUUUAAUUUUUAUUUUUCGAGUCUUAAAAAAUUGACUUCCUACUAGGAAAGCUUUUAGCUUUUUUUAACACCACCCACCAUUACUCUCCAUGAUAUACACAAACACCCCACUAUAUAGACCUUCUCAACCCACUAUAGUAUAAAUGUCAUGAUAUUUAUUAGCUCACUAUUCAGUUCUACUUUAUUAUGACUGUGUAAAUAUUAUUCUUCAUCGAGCCACCUAAUGUUCUGUGGUAUAAUUAUUUUUCAUUGCUCACAUGACUUUAUUUUCCUAUGGAAUUGCUAAAUAUCUUCUUUUUAUUGCUUAAUUUUUUAUAUACUUGUCAUUGUUUGAUGCCCAAAAGGAGGGUGGGGGUUCAGUAAAUGUCUCCUGAGCAAUGUAAAUCUCCUCCUAGUUCAUGUGGACAUACCAGGCUAACUUUCACCUUAAACUUGACUUUAUCCAAUGCUUUCCUUCACCUCUGGACUAGGAAACCACUUGCUUGGGUGAGAAUAGCCUUUUAGGUUGAAAAUCACCUCCAUUAUCUUCUAACUCCUUGUGAUGCUUUUGGUAACAUCUGAUGCCAUCCUAAUUUCUAGAUUCCAUGGUCCUGGACCUUGUAGGACUAGUUUUAUCCCCUUUAAUGGUUGUUCAGUGAGCACUCUUGGUCUGAAAUGCAUGUUUUUCAACUGUUGAACAUUUUUCUUUAAUUAUUUCAUUAUUUUUUUCCCAUUCUUUUUGCCUGUUUUCUUUUUCUAGAACUCUAUUAAUGAGACUUUGGAUCUCCUGGACUGGUUCUCAAGUUUCUUUAUCUUUACUUUUUUCCAUGAUAGUUUUGUCUUGAUUUCUGGAAGUCUUCCUCGACAUUGUCUUCUAGAUCUUCAAUUGGCAUUUAAAUUUUGGUUAUCGUAUUUUUUACGAUUUUUAAGAAUAUCUUUUCUUCUUGGGCGGUUCAUUUUUUCACGACAGUCUAUUCUUGUUUCAUAGGUAAAAUGUUCUCUCAUUUAUCAGGGGAUUUAGAAUAUUUUCCAAGUAUUUUCUGCUUCUGGGAUUUUCUGUUUCCCCCGCUUUUCUCUUCUGUUUUGAACUGUUGGAAGCUUUCCUUGGAUGUUUGUCCUACGAGGAGGAUACCUGUUUAUUUUCAAGAGUGAAGUGCUAAUAAUAAGCUGGUUGGUGGCUCUGAGUCUGGGCUUGUUGAGUGGUGAGCUCACUACAAGGUGAUGAAGCUGGAUCAGAACCUCUUACUGGGGACUUCUGGGAACCAAUGGCUGUAAGUCCUUCUCUUUUGGAACUCUUUGUUUCCUCCAGGAAAGACACUAUCUGCCUGAUACUGUUCUGGGAGCAGAGCAAGGAAGGUGGCAGACUGUCUCACCACUGAGUGGUCCAUUGUGUGGUCUCUCACAUCACAAACUUAAGCCCCCUAUUUUCAGUGCACCACCUCAGCCUGUCUUACACAGUGACAGCUGUUCCCAACUCCAGCCCUUCUGAUCCAGUUUCUCUGCAAUAAACGUCUCAUCUUUUGGUAGGUUAGUGAAUGCGCACGCAGCAGCAUGGCUUUCGGAGAUGGUGGAGGAGAGCUGGAAGGGUGUUUCUCACUGUGAUCAUUUUUUGACCCUGCUUCUGUUGUACUGGGAUAUCUCCAACUCUGAGCAUCUCUGGGUUCCCUGGAGUUAAUCAACUUCUAUUUCAAUGGCAUGGCCUAAAUCUUGGCCUUCCAAGUUCAAUGCUGUUCCUUCCAUCAUCUACUCUCCUGGUUUUUAUUUUCUUUAUUACUUCACCUCUACUUUCCUCUUUGAAAAUUAUUUUGUUACUGUUAUUUUUUGUGGGGCUUUAGGAAGGACCCCUCCCCCAUCCAUCUUUUUUUUUCCCUUUCUUUUCUGUUUUAUUGGUACUAGAGAUUGAACUCACUCAACCACUGAGCCACAUCCCCAGCCCUAUUUUGUAUUUUAUUUAGAGACAGGGUCUCACUGAGUUGCUUAGUGCCUCGCUGUUGCUGAGGCUGGCUUUGAACUCAUGAUCUCCCUGCCUCAGCCUCCAAAGCCUCCAGAGCCUCUAGGAUUACAGGCUUUUACCACUGUGCCUGGCUCCUGUUUGUUUGUAAUCCCUGGGUAGGAGCUGCUGCCUACUGGUGAGGCCAGUUGAAAGCACUGGGUGACAUCCUUGUCCUUUCAUGGCUAGAAGGUCAGUGACUCUUAGUCCAUGCAGGAUGUCUGCUCUUGCCUUCAGUUCAUGCUUCAGUGAGGUCCCUCCAGAUGUGGGACCCUUGGGCAGGCUCCCAAUUAAUUGAAAUUACAAGUAUUAGAUAUCUUCAUCCUGCAGGAGUCCAUGGCAUAGGCAUGAUGAUAACAUCACCUGGAGUUCUUGUGAUUCUUCACUUUUCCCAAAGCAGUUUCACAAACACCUGGAUCUUGGGGUAGCUCUACACACUUGGAACAACCAUGUCAUUGUCAUGCCCGGUUUCACACAUGCAGAAACCGAGCUGUAGGUGAUGUUGGUUGGUUUGUGUUUAGACAACCAUGGACCUGCUCUUGAAGUGCUCUGUGCUAGUGACAGAGACACACGCAUCUCCUCGGGGUUGGCAAAUGAGGAGUUCCGUUUUCUUUACCCAGGGCCUGGUAGAGGCAGGCACCGGACACUUUGAGCUGAAAAUUUCACUCACUUUCCAAUAGAAACCAACCACACUGUGUCUUGAGAAUGAACACACUGCAAAGCGGCAGGAAAUCAGAGAAGAGAGAGAGAUCACUCAUCCUUGGGAUGGCGGGAGAGGCUCAUGCGGGUGGUGGGGUUUCAUUGGGUCUGGAGGGGAGCACUGAGGAAGGUAGGCAUGGGAAACAGAAGCACUCUGGGGAGUGGGAUAAGGGAGGAGUCAGGCCGUUACAAGGACUCUUCCAGGGAAGGAGGGUUAUUCCUUACCUGAAUGCCUGUUGAGGAUCAGAGAUGUCCCCCUGAGGUGUAAGUAGAUGACCAGAAGUGUUAGAGGGAGACCAGCUGGAUGGAGUAUGGAAGGCAGCACUUUGGCCGUCUGGAAGGCAAGCAGAUUGCUUGGACUUGAUUCUCGGGGGACUAAGGGACUGUUCAAGGUAGAGAAUGAAGGACAGCAGUGUAGAAAGACAAGUCAUGCAGAAAUGGCUUCAGGCUGCAGGUCCAGUAGUUACUGGUGAGUUGCUGGGUCCAAGUGGGUGGUGGGAGGAUGGUCUGAGCAAACUGGGGAGCCCAGGAAUAAGGUUCUGAUGGGAGAUGGGGGAUCACGGUGCCACUAUCAGACGAGCCAGGAAAGAAGCUGAAUCCUCAUGUUUCUUGGUGGCGUUCCUCAUAUGUCCCUCCAUCAUGUCACUAACUGCACUUCCUUUUGUUCUCCUUCCUUCCUGGCAGGGAAAAUGUGUGCACGGUGGUCCUGGAAAGGAGACUGAUGCAUACAUUUGUGGUAGUGGCUGAACAGAGAAGACCUGAACCCUCAACUUCCCUGGAAGACGAGACCCUUCCUUGGAUGACCCUGCCUGAUGGCCCUCGGGAGGCCUUGCACAAGCAGCAACCAGGACAGAAAAACUUGAGAUCGGACCCCCUGGAGUCAAAGAGGGGGCCCAGAAGGUUGGGGUGAGGCUGUUAGGAGAAGGGUAAAAGCUGGUGGUGUGGUCAAAAGAGACAAGGUAUGGGGAGGACUGGAGAUUCCAGAAAGUGCAUGGCAGAGCCGCAGACCCACCCAGGAGCAGGUGGCUGUGGAAAAGUAACAAAUAAAUAAAUGGCAGAGUCUCCGAGGCUGUGUGUUACGCUGCGUGAAAACAUCAACUGCUGAGUCCAGCUGACACGUCAAGGGGUUUGACGAAAGCAGGCAGAUAGCCAAGAUGCCAGGUCCCCUGACCAGCUUCCCAACUGUCGUCAGUACACGUGAGCAUGUGCUGGGCACCUGCAGAGAAAGGGCUUGAUCCCCCUCUGCAGGUCACCAAAGACAGUGGAAAUUUUCCAAGAAGGCAAGAUAGAUCAGCCAUGUCAGGAGUUAUCUGCCUGUUACAUCUACAGGACUAGACAGAUAUCAAGGUCAGAGUUGUCUUUCACAGAACUGGGAGGACACCAUGCGCAGGGUCUCCUGUGUUCAGAGAGGGCAGCCUUUCUAGUCACCCAUGUUGCUCCCUCUCAUAGUUGACAGUUGCUCACCCUUGACUGUCCUCACUGGAAGGAGCACAGUGUUACUUCUAUGAAGGCCUUUGACAACCAGUCCUACGCUCUUCCAGGAUCUCUGGAUGGGGACAUUCCCAUUCAUAGCCACUCAUCCAAAUGUCUUUUCCUGUUGGUGGCAAAAUACAUUAGGAUGAAUUUCUUGCACUGGAUUUAGUUUCCAAUUAGAUGUUGCUGGGUUCCGUUUGAGUUAAUGCUGAGGCCCUCCCAGUUCUGUUCCAAGUGCUGGGCCCUCAUUAUCAUACUACAGGGACUGUGCUCUUCAUCAUGUGUUUACCACAUGUCUAGCAGAGCACCUAUACCGAACUUCCCUCAUAAGUGUCUGGUGAAUUCCUGAGCAAGAGAACAAAUGAAGGGUUGACUCUGGUUAAUAAAUAAGUUUAAAACAUGUAUACAAAUAAUCAAGUGCUCACAAAUUGUUGAAUCCAAGUGAAGGUGGUUGUCAAACAUCCCUGAAACAUACACGCACAUGCACAAACACACACUUUCUCUCUCUCUCUCACACACACACACACACACAUACACACAUACCAUUUCACCAGGCUUCCCUUCCUACUCUGUGAAGGCCUACUUCUCAAAAUGUGUCUGACGUUUGUUUGUUGGUUCAUUCAAUAAGUGUUUAUUGAGUACUGACUAUGUGCUGGGCAUUUUUCUGGGUACCAGAGAUUCACUAAGUAAAUACCAGGAACAAGAAGGCUAGGUUCUGGUGGGAAGAGACAGGCAAUUGAUGCAAUAAGUAACUAAACUUUAUUGUGUGCUAUGUGAGUUGAUCUGCAAUAGAGGAAAAUCAGGAAAUGUGUGGGGAGUGUGGAGAGGAGGCUAAAAUAGGGGAUUUAGAGAAAUCCUCACCUAGAAGGUAGCAUUUGAGUAAAGAACAGAAGGAGGUCAUAGGGUGAGCUGUAGAUAUCUGUGGGAACAUUCCACUGAGUGAGUAGACUGUGCUCGGCCCUGAGGUCUGAGCAUUGCUGGAAUGUUCUAGAAGCAGUGAGGAGGCCAUAUGACUGGAGGACAGUGAGCAGCCAGAGGAGCAGCAGGAGAUGAGGCUAGAGAGAGCUGGGGAUAGAGAGGAAGGCAGGCCACCAGGGCCUUAUGGGAUAUUGCUUGUGCACCGAGCUGGCUGGGAAGCCAUUCCUGCAGAGUUUUGGGCAGAAAAGUGAUGUGAUUGGUCUUAUGUUAAUGGAAUUACUGGGUAGGAGACUAGUCAGAUAACCUAGCAGGGGUCUGAUGGUGGUUUGGACUAGGCUGUCACAGUGGAGAUGGUGAGAUGUGGAGUGAUUCUGAAGCUUUUGGUGGGAGUGUCAACAGGAAGAACUGCUGUGGGGUGUGAGAGAAAGAAUGAAGCAAGGACGACUCUAAGGUGGUGGAUUUGAGUGACACAUGGAAGAAAAGAAAGGCAGCUAAGCCAGCGACAGGUUGGAGGCUGGAUCCCCUCCCCAAUGCUGCUGGAGUCAGCUGAGCCCCUCCCAGAGGCUGGGCUGCCCCAGGACCCUGAGGCAGAGCAGGCUCUGCACCCUGUAGACUCCUCCAGGUACAUUGAAGUUUGACUGUCUCCCAGCCCCACCUCUUUUUCUCAAGGAAGAGCCGCCAGUGGGAGGGGGCAGCUGUUGUCGCCCCUGCCCCAUCUGUCUUCCUGACCCCAUGUCUAGGACAGGAUGCUUCUGAGUUUCCGUGAUUCAUCUGGUCUCUCACUCUCCUCCUCCACGCGCCCACCCCCGGAUUGUAUUCACUACCCUCCUCACGUUCCUCUCCCUCUCCACUCAGACGAGAGCAGAGCAAGUCUGCUUCCCAGCC